AGAGUGGCCUGCUCCUGUCUCACGGAUUAUUAGGCCCUCUCUGCUUUUAUUUUUCCCUGUAGUCAUCUAGCUAAUAGCCUAGUGUGGUUUGAUUGUGUCUUACACUAAAGUAUCCCCACAUAAUUUCUGCUCACAGCAGUGGUUUGCUCCUAUCUGCUAAGCAUCAGCAUCUUUCCCCUCCUGUCUCACACGAGAAUGAUUAGAUACUGCGUCACUGAGCAUCAGGCUUUUAGCCCCUCCCCCGGGGUCCACAGUGGUUUGAUCCUACCUCAUGGACUAUUAGGUUCUUUCUGAUUCCCCCUCUAGCAUCACCAUUACUAAUGGUAUGGUCCUUAGCAUCAGGUCCUUUUUGUCCCCCACUGGUCUUCUGAGCAGACUUGACGCAGCUUCAUCUCAUUCCUGAUGGAUCCUGAGCCCCUCAGUGCUUUACUCCUGCGUGAGCGCUGUGAACUGGACCAAAUGGGUUGAAAAUGGCCAGAAGUUGCUCUUUAUCACUUUAAAUCUUUUAUGAUAAAGAAAAAAACUUCAAUUUCUGACCAGUUAAAAUCCAUCUGAGCCAGUAAACGCUCAUUGGGCAGAGCUGGAGUCUGAGGUCGGUAAAUCCAGGAAGAUGGCUGAAUGCUUUGCUGACUCAAGCCCAGACAAGGAGCCAGAUUUCUUGGAUUCCAGAUUCACUUCUUUCUUGGCUUCACCCUGGACCUGUGGUGACUGGAGGCUUUGUGAUAUGAUGAGGAAACUGAGGCUCCAAGAGCUUCUGUGACUUGUCCAAGGCCAUACAGCUAGUUCACAGUGAGGCACAGAAUCAGUUUAGAAGCACUUCGGGGAAUUUGGAUACUGUUUGGUGGCCUGGCAAGAUCAGCACCCUUACUAUUUUAGUCCCUGCCAGUCAUCAGCCUCUGGUUUUCCUGUUAUCCUCUGCUCCCUGUUAUGUAGCUACUAAGUGGCCUAAGAGCCAGCACCUUCACAAAGUAGCAAAGGUAAGGCCGUUCUUCCUUGUUUUUUGUUUUCUGGAAAUUGCUUAUGCAUUUCAGACCCAGCUUACCUGUGUUUGAAGGAGCCUGCACCGGGAGCUGGAAGGACACAGUGCUCAUUCUGGGGUCAUACUGACUUGAGUUUGGUUCCUAUCCAAAUGAUUUCACACUAUCCAUCACAUGAAGUUUCAGGUCUAUUAUUAAAGAAAAUAUUUAGAAUACUACAACACAUAUACACAUAUCCAGAUAUAGGUGAAUACAUUAUUUCAGCUUUGGAUGAACUAAAUAUAUAAAAUAAGGGAAGAGUUACAUGUUUGCCUAUUUAAAAAUGUAAAACUCUAUAAAAACAUGAAUGACAUUAAACAUAAGUGGUCAACUGGGCACUCAGAUAAUAAUAUAAGGUAUAUUCUGUCCUUGCAUGAUUUACAUAUUUGCAAAAUUGCCAUUUGGCACAAUUGAGUGAUAAACCCAAGAUCAAUUCUGGUAUUUGUGUGGUUAUAUUUGGAUAAAUAUAGUGACUGAACACCCACUGUGUAGGAUUUUAGCAGAAGUCCAGUUAUGACUUUUUGUUUUCAAUCUUACAUUGUAAAUAAAGUUGUCUGCAUAGUGUGUUAAGUGCCACAAUCCUCAUACUUUUUGAUAAGUUCACUGUUCAAAACACUCCCCAACGUAGUACUGUUGAGUGCUUCUAAGUUUAAGAAGGCUGAGAGGUACCUUACAGAUACUAAUGAGUAUCACAUAAGCUUCAGUCAUGUGUGAUGGUGCUGCUGGCUAUAAUUUUGUUAAUGAAUCAUAUUUAUACGAUGGGUCAGUAUUCACUAGAAUAGUGUUUGCCAUGAUUUUUAUCAAAGUUAUCAAUUGUGAAUAACAAGAAGCAUGAUAACUAUCAAAAAUGCUGAUUACACAAGCUACAAUGUCAAUUUAUGAGGGAAACAAUGUGAACUUCAUCAAAAGCAAGCGAAAGUAGUACAUAGGUUAAGUGACUGGACAGAGACAAACAAAUCAUGCAUGUUAACAUUAUUGGAAAACUCUUUCAUUUACUAACAAUAAAAGAAUUCAAGUUGGAGUAACAAUGACAGGUCAGUGUUGUUGCCUAUCAUAUUAGAAAAGAUUUAUGAACUGUGCUGGCCACAGUACAAUGAUCUUAAUCACUUUUUUGUAUACUACCAGUGGAGUAAAUCAACAUGACAUCAUAGGAAGUGGCUUAGUGGCCUCUAAAAAAACUUGUACAAAUUUUAGUACAUCAUUGAAAUUGAACUUCAAAGUAUGUCUUCUGAGAAGUAAAUGUUCAGCUCUACAUAUCUUUAGUAUAAUGUUACUUGUAAGAACAAAGGUAGAAAAAAUUACAGGGAGUCUUUUAAGAGGGAGAACAGAUGUACUGUGCAUAGAAACAGGACAUAAAUGAGCCUUACAAAAUCCUUAAAUUAUUCUCAAAGAACAGUUGAUAACAUGAAAAACAUUUUAUCUUCGUUGAAAUAAAGCAGAUGACAUAUAAGUUAAAAAUUAAGUUACACUUUUAUCAUAAUACACUGAAGUAGGUCAAGUUGAAAAUAAAUCAGUUUCGGGGUGAAACUCAUUUUAAGUAUAAUCCAGUACAUACAAGUUGAGGGAACCUUCUAACCUGCUCCUCAGUAGCCAUCCAUCUCAUGUAGUUGGGCAUGCUUUAGGAGAUGGGAUAAUGAGUUGGCAUGAGCAAUGGAGUCUUACUGUAUUGAUCAGACAAGGAAGAACAGACUCACCUUUGGCCAUGCACAGAAAGGAAAAAUUUCAUUGAGACUUCUAUGAAAUUAGAUGAACUGUCUCAGUUCUUAGAAGGCAAGAAGAAGAAGAAGAAGAAGAAGAAGAAGAAGAAGAAGAAGAAGAAGAAGAAGAAGAAGAAGAAGAAGAAGAAGAAGAAGAAGAAGGCGUCAACAACAAUGAUGAUGACUAUGACUUUGCAGCUGAGUCUUAAAGGAUAUGUAGAAUCUUAGGGUUGAAAUACAGGGUAAGUAUUGACCUUUUCAGCUUCAACAGUGAUACCACUCUAGACUCUGAAGUCAAUGACUUUAAGAGGCAUUGAAAGUGGUUCUCUUUUGGGAUGUAUAUACCUAGAAGUUUCUAGUACUUUCAUCUAGGGUUCAGGUAAGUUGCCAUAAUCUAAUGCUCUGACCCUAAUUUUAAUAGAUAAAAGACAUAAAUAUUUCAUGAAUUGUACACCAUCUGAUGAGUCACACAUAUAUGUAAUAUGGAGAAUGAGUGAAGGGGGGAAGAGAUAUCAGAGACAGGAUGAGAAAGAAACAAAUAUUUGUUAAGUACUAGUGAGCUCUAAUAGUACAUAGGCCAUUUUAAUUUUACCUAAUAUGCUUGAGGCCAUUAUGUAGGCAUUCAUUCCAAAUUCCAGUGUUGCCCUUAAAAAUCAAUGAGGACAGGAAAGAUAGAGCUAGAGUGACAAAUGGACAAUGGAAGUGAUUAGAGGUAGUUGUAGGUAGAAGUGUUUUUCAAACUAGCUACAGUGAAGGUACAGAGAUUAUUAAUUGGCCUAACUCUAAUGUAAACAUAGAUAAGGGGAAAUUAAUUCAUAGAGCUGUACAAGGGUAUAUGAAACAAGCUAUGACCACACCCCACAAACUGAAGACCAUGGUACCAGUAAGAGGUGAUCAGGAGUUGCAACGUGUCUCCCCUGGAGGAUGGGAUCAGCUACUGAGAGUGGUUGAGACUGAAGUAGGGUAUAUUGGAUGAAAGAGACUAUUCCUUACUUUGUUAACACUUCUAUACAUAUCAGCUCACUCUGCAUAUGGUGUUUUGGACCAUACUAAGUCAGUGACUAGAAUACAGGUGUGUCAAUAUUUAUAAAUGUAUCUAACAUCUCUUGAAGGACACAGAAGAAACAUAGUGAUCAUUCUCUGACAAGAGAACCUGGUAGAAGUGGGAAGAACACGUAGUCAAUUUUGUACCUCUUGCUUUUGUAUUAUACACUACUGCCUGCUUCCAACAAGAAAACUACACACACACACACACACACACACACACACACCUUCAUUUUUAUCCAGAACUAUAAUCACAACGAGUUCCCUUUCUUGUCCAUGAACAACCUCCCCACUGACAAUUUAAAACCAUAUUCUAUCCUUACUGGCCACUUGGCAUAGGAUCUAAUUGGCAGGAUGGAAUUAGCAAAAGUAGCCUCCAUGUGGGAAAGGGAAGCAUACUCUGUGAAGCGGGAUCCUGAAGUCAACAGUACUGCUAGUAUUACUAUUUCUUCAGACUGUUAAGUAGACAGGCAAGAGACCUUCUUCACUGGUUUGAAUGUGGAAGAUAAAAACCAAGAAACAAAGAUUUGUUGAGAGAAGCUGAAGAAAUGGUCAGGGAGAGGUCAUGCAGCAACUUACUGAAAUCUAGCUGUGUUAAGAUAGGUUUGCAAGUGUUAAGAUAGGGCUGUUCAGAAAGCCUUCUGUCAGCUAUCAGAUCCCAUAUCAAACAUACACAUGACCAUUUAUAUGAGCAAAUCUUCAAAUUAGUCUUUUGGAUUCUGCUGGGUUUUAUCAGGCUUAUUCAACAAAAUUCAAGUGCCUGUUGUAAGGAGGGUCCAGAACAGAGCAGUAGUUGUGGGCAUUCACAAAGAGAGAAGGUUUCUGCGAAAACCAAUGGUUCCUGAAUGAGGGUUUUGUGAUGGAUUAGGGGCCAAGUGUUGUGGAUUCUAACAGAGCCGAUAUAGUGCUUGGUUCCUAGUAGGUGCUCAGUAAGUGUUUGUGACAUAAUUCGUUUAUUGAGCACCUCCUAUCAAUCAAGCACUGUGCUAGGCUCUGGGGCCACAUAGCUAAGUUAGACAAGAUGUUCCCUUUUGAGGUCCUUAUUUCUAGUAGUGGCUAUAAUAGAAUGAUUAGUUAUAACAACAGUGCUGAGAGGGAUAAGAGGAUAUGCCCAGGAAACAGAAGCAAGUUGCACUGUGGGAAGAAGCUGCGAAUAUACACCAUUUAUUCCAAAACCUUAGGAAGGAAAGGAGAGAAGGUGACAGCAAAUAGAGAGGUAAGGGUGAGAAGUUUUACCUUGAGAAUGAGAGGCUUGAGCAUAAUGUUCCCAUUAGAGAGGGCAGGAUGAAGAUUCAAGAGUUAAGGCAGUGAGCAAGGGAAAGUCAGGUAGGUCUGAGGCUAUAGAGGGGGUGAGAGUGGAACCUGGCUAGGAUCUCCACACGAAGUCUUCUGAAGCACGAGAGUGUGGACUUGCAGGUGGUACCAGGAGAUGAUGGAGAAAGUUAAGAGUAUGCAAAGGGCAGUGAUUGCAACGAUAAAUUGCAGGUCCUAGGGCAGUUUGAGAAGGUGAUUAAGAUGCAAAUGAUGGAAACAAGGAAAAGGCCUUAUUGGCGCAGAAGCAGCCAGAGUAUACAAGUAGAGGACGACACAGGUGUCGUGGUCUGGAAUGACAAAAAGAUUCUGGGUGUGACCAAGGAUGUGAAUAAAUGGUGUAGGCAUAGCAAGAGGUUAUGGUAGUUGAACCAAGAAGUUAGGGCUUUCUGAUUAUUUCCCAUGGAUGUUUAAAUCCAUGUGAUCAUACAAAGGCUUGUACCAGGAGUCCAAGAUCAAUUUUGGGGGUUAAUGUUUGGAAGAAAGUAAGCAGAUACCAGUGAUGACAGCAUUUGUUUGUUGGAGAAUGUAAAUACCCUAGCUAUUCAUUACCUGAAACAGGAGGUGAGCGUCUGUCAUCUUGGCUUCCCUCCUCAUGGAAUUCUUACUGAAAUGAGAUAGAACACUCCAGCUACAAUGGGAAUCAACCAGUGUCUGUGGAGUACAGCCUGUCCCAGCAGUCCUAGAUGCCUAAAGGACUAGCUAUCAGGAUAAGGCCUGUGUUACUGUGCUAGUCAGUAGCAUGCAACUCUGCAGAAGCACUGAGAGGCUCAGGAAUGAAGAAAAACGGAAUCACACAAAGGAAUGGAUGUAGUAUUUUCUAGGUUAAUUCCUAGAGAGUGUGGUGCAUGCUGAUCUUUCAAUGUUUUUCCUUGGUCUAUGCAAGAAUAGUGGUGAUAAUGACACAUGAAACUGUUUGUUUGGCCAAUGACGUGAGAGGAAUGACAGGCAGGGAGGGAAAGACUUUCUGUGACCAGAAGAGUUUUUGAGGUACAAUUUUGAUUCACAAUUGGUGGGGGUGGUGUUUUUUGACAAAGAGUAGUGGCAGACAUUCUGAUCUUUCGCGAAACGUGUGAGGAAAAACUGCAGAAAACAUGGAGGAGCUUCGAGAAACACUUAAGAUGUUUUCUUUCACAGUAACAGCAUCUGGAGCCACAACAAACAAUAGCUAUAGUGAUGACGGUAGCUAAUAUACACAUAAUCUGAUCCCAUGGAAGUGCUCUGUUAAGCAUGGUUAUUUGCAUGAAUUCUUUCAGUACUUAACAACAGCUUUUUAAGGUCUAAGUAUCUAUAUUUAAUCCAUUUACUGUUGUGUAAUAAAAUACAUGAAACAGGAUACUUUAAAAGUCAAAGACUACUUUAGCUUAAGGCCCCUUGACUUUGCAACCAGGGUCCCAAGGCUGUAUUAGAAUCAUAUGACAAGGGGCAAAGAGCAUGUGUAGGAGACUAUAGCUUCCCUCAUUCCUUAAUCUACCAGAAUUCAACUAUGAGAGCCCCACCAUAAUGGCCUUAUUUAAACUUAGUCACCUCUCAUAGGCCCUGUGUCUAAACAGCAUCGUUGAAUUAACUUUGUAUCUUCUUAAUACAUUACAGGGGGAAGAAAUGUCAACAUAUAAAGUUGCAAGGCACCCUCAGACCAUAUUCAAAUUAUUGUGGUGCUAGUAUUACAAUAAUUGCUGGUGCUCACUGGUAAAAUGCUCAGCUAGCAUGUGCAAAGUCAUAGGCUCAAUCUUUAGUAGCAUUAAGUAAACACUUUAGUACUAAGAAAGAGUGUAUUAAGUACAAAGCAAGAGUGUAUUAGAAUUCAAAUCCUUGUAACCCAUUCUGAUGAAGAUAUGGGUAUGAAGAGUGUCAAAUAUCUAUUGUUGGCCUAUGUAGACUAUAAACUGUAGAUUGUAUACUUUUAAAAAAAGCUCUUGCUGCAUUCUUCCUGGGAUUUGGUUCCUGUGUAUACAAAAUAGACUGGUGCCUGCCUGGAUUUUUUGUGAUUAUGACAUGCUGUGAAAAUUACAUGUUGCUGUGAAAGAAAUCUGACAGGGGUCAGAAGCCUUCAAAAGGGCAUAUGAUUAGCUAGAGCAUACUUGCAAAAUUGAUUGUCUUUGGAAGACGAGACAAGGAGCCUAUAAAAUGUUUCCCUGGGCUGAAAUGAAACCAGGGCUUCAGCAUUCCAGAUAAGCUAUCUGCCAUUACAAUAUAAACAGCUUGUUUAUCAUUUUGUUGAAACCAGGUAGCUCAUUAUUAACUUGACCAUCACUGGUAGUUUAAAAAGGUCUUGAACUGAUGAUCCUCCAGCCUUAGUCUCACUGGUAGCUGGACUUACAGGCCAGGAUUGGCUGGGUGGGUAUUUAUUUUAAAAGAAAUAUCCUAUUUCAAUUACAUCCUAUAAGUAUUUAUAUUAAUUCAUUUACUAUGAACUGAGAAAAUGAUAUAUAUGUAUGGCCAUUCAAAAGAGUUAUUUCUUCCUUUGUGGUUCAUUGAAUUUCAUUUUUAAUAUUGGAACUCAGCAAAACUGUUGCAUGUUCUGGUAUAACAUUUCCUGUACCCCUUUAUCUUUCCCAUUGCCAUUCUGCCUCUCUCCUUUGAGGUCACAUGUGAAGUCCCCUAAUUUUUUAAGCUAUCCUGCUUCAACCUUUCUAUAUAGCUCACAGCCUUUUUCUACUAUGAAUUCAAAGUCUCUCAGUCAUUUGUAAUUGCUAGUCUUUGGGAAUUGUUUAUUAUAGUUAAGCUUGAAGAUUAAUUAACACAUCUCUAUGGCCUCUUCCUGCACUGUGAGGCAUUGGUUCUCUUAAAGCAAGGACUUUACAUUCCCAAGGUCAAGUUUUCCUCAGUUAGUUCUACUUCUCUACAUCAGUAUUUAUGGUGUCUUUGAUUGUUUUUCUAGGUUCAGCCUAGGGAGUUCCCAAUGUUUAAAUUAACAGCAACAGUGAUCUAUAUAGUCUCAAAAGGGCUGAUGCUUGCAUGGUGGCCUUCUGAGCAUCUGCCAUAUCCAUCUGCUCUUGUAACCGUCUCUUCUUCCUCCUUCCCAUGCUGUAUACAAGGAAUGAACCAUAAAAGCAGAAACUCCGUCAUUCUUCUGAACCAUUUUUUAUGUGUCCUCCACUUCAAUAUUACGUUGCCUGUUUGAGCUUUACUUUGCAUAGUAGACUUGCUCAGUCUGGUCACUGUGGAUGAGAACCACAUUGUUUAAAAGCCCUUCAAUAUGUGAACUGUUGAAAAUCGUGCAGCAGUGGGUUCUGCUGGCUCUGGGAUGAGGGCUUCACCUCAUGUAUUUGUACUGCCCUUAUACUAGUUACUGCUGACCUCAGAAUCAGGUUGAGAAUUCAAAGAAAAUCAAACCCUUAUGUGUUGCCCUAAGGCAAAACUGUACCUCUUACUACCUUAAGUGCCCGAUUUCCAUUAACCACAUUUUUUCCCCUGGUGAAAAUUAAUACCACAUUGAAGGAAGAUAAAGUCACAUGGUCUUUAGCGCAGUGCCAGUACAUGAUUGUGGAUGAUGUAUAAAGGCAAGCAAAAGAUAGGAACAUAUCUAUGUGACAACAUAGAGUCAAUCUACACUACUAACAUAUCCAAAACUGGAUAGGACACACCAUCUUAUAGAAUUAUCCCUGGCUUCUUUUCUAAACACACGGCACCACAAUGAAACAGAGCAGAAAAAGAAGGGUUCUGGUAGGAGCUAGAAUGAUUUUCUUGCCUUUCUUCAGCUCUAAAAGUAAUCUAGCUUUGCCCUAGCUCAAUGUCUGCUCACCUCCUUAUGUCAGUCUUAAUUAACAGCAACAACAAAAGUCCUCAGAGGACUGAGCUCACCAUCAGAAAAGGAUCAUAGAAGUCAUCUAAUUCACACAUACCUCAAGGCCUGCCAAGCUCCUGUGUGGGGUUACACCUAAAACAAACUCUAUACAGGGCUUGUCAGGAAAAGCUGUCCAGUUGUUUUUUCCCACUCAGGGAACCUGGAGUGCAAAAGAGCAAAGCAAUCAGCAGCUCAGCUUUACUGGCCUUCCGGCCACAUGCAUAUAUAUUUCUCAUAAAGCCUUCUUCCCCAAUUCCUAGGCUCCAACUCACUUCUUAUCCUUGGUUCCUCCCUGAGUGUGGGACACACACACACACACACACACACACACACACACACACACACACACGCAUGCACCCACACACUCACAUGUUCUUAAUGCAGAGCUAAGAACAUCUACAAAAGGACCAUGUAGGACACAGCUCCUUUACACAUAGCUGGCUACGGUGAUUUUAAUGUGGAUGCUUAUAUUCAAGAAAAGUAUUAAAUAUGCAAGUAUCACUUUAAUAUUCCGGGCAAAUUUCAUUUUAAUGACUAUGACUACAAAUGGGUCAGAGUUACUGAAGAAAGUAGACACUCUUAGAACUUAUAGUACAGGGCCUGUUGGUCAUUCUGGGAGGGGAUAUAGCUUUCAAGAGUGGUGUGAAGUUUAGUAGAUGAUAAUAAUUCCUGUCUUCAAAGUGCACCCCCACAAAUGGCUAAGAGACAAAGUAUUUUUAAAGGAAACAAUAUAAAGAACUUUUAAAAAGAAAAACAAAUCUACCGAAAAAUCUAAAAACAACUCUUCACCUGCCUGCAAACUCCCUAAGAAGCAAAAACAAAAACAAAACAAAACACUAACAAACAACAACAAAACACACACACCCACACCCACACACACCUUAGAGCAGUUAAAACCCAAGGUGGUGGUGAGGCACAGCAAAGAAAAAUUAAACCAAACCCUGUUUUCUUUUUUACAAAGAUGAUAGAAGAAGAAAAAUAAACACAACCUCCAUAAAACAACAAAGCAAAACCCACCAAAACCAGAGUAAUAGGACAUAAAGUAAAAGGAAAUCUAAUAAAUAGAGAAAGGGAAAAAAUUCUCAGCAAUGACAAUAAAAAAUUCUAAACAUUGAGAGAAUAAAGAGAAAUAAAUUAUAAAAGGAAUUAAGAGAAGGAAAACUCUUAUGUAUAAUAGAAAAGGAAUGAGGCAGGGAGACUCAGCAUGUUAAAAAAACAAAACAAAACAACAAAAACCUUUGGGAGAGAUAGGAAGGAUUUGCUUUUGUUAGGCUUGUGGAGUGGGAGGUAAAUAGCCAGAAAACAUGGCUGUCCACAGUGCCCUUUGGGAGCUGUUGGAAGGCAUGAAAGGGCAUGUUAUUGUAACAUAGGCAGACAGGCGUUUAAGUGGCUCAUUACCACCAUAUUAACUUUCACAUGUGAGUCUGAGAAGCCCCGGAGACCUGCUUUAUUUCACCAGGGUCUGAGAGAUACCAUUUGUUGAUGGGCCAGAUCUAUGAUCUGUAUUGGGCCCCUGCCUGCCCAGAGAGAGAUAUAAGUUCAACUUUUUUUUUUCAAAAGCUAUUUUGAAAAUAAUGCAGGUUCUGUCUGGACCACAUCUGGGUGACUACUAGGUCUUCCCUCAAAGCACUUUGAGUCAGGGUUCUGGAACUUGCCAGCCAUCGAAUUCGCCAGGAGCCAGAAGCCAUCUUUGUAUUCACUUAAAAAUGUGAUUUUUUCCCCACAUAAAUAGGUGUGUGUGUGUGUGUGUGUGUGUGUGUGUGUGUGUGUGUGUGAGUGAUCAUAAACAGCCAGAAUCCCAAUGAGAAACAACUCUAGACAAUCACAGUUCCAAAUAGGAAUCUCAAAGGCAUUCAGCUUCGGAUUUGGAAUGCUGUGUUUAUUUUGUCAGUAUUAUUUAUUCUGUCUUUGAAAUACUUCUUGCUUAAAAAUAAUAGUUAAAUCCUUUUCCGCGAUCACAUUGACUUUUAAUUGAGUAGUACAGGGUGGUGUCUAGGAGGAAGCAUAUUCCUAACAUAUCCUUUAGUUGAGUCAUCCCAACAAGGAUCAGGAAAAUUUGAUGACAAUGAUUGCAGUGGAUGUGCAUUCUGACAUGCAGGUUUCCUGCUCUGGCCUUUAUCUGGCUGGAAGUGAAAGCAACAAGACAGCUGUGGUGAUGGGACACUGGGGGAACAAAUUUCCCACAGGUCACAUCAGUGGGUGGUCAGAAAGCAGACAUCUUUUACACUACCACCACAACCCCCCCACCCCCAACUGCAGCAAGUUUGUAAUUUUUCUGUGUCCUGAAGCCUGGUGCUUCUUGGCUCUGGUAUGCAGAGUGGUGCUUCUGAGCAUUCGGAGAGAGGAGAGCAGGAGUGUUGCUAGCACAUGUUGCAGUGCCAUCCAGUUGAUGGAUCAUACUACAAAGCUAAGUUAACAUACGUGGGAUAGGCAUGGAGACUAGAGGAAGGACUAAGAUCUAAAGUGAAGCCCAACCUGGAGGAACCAUGUAAUUUCAGGCAAGUCCCAUAACCUCUCUAAACUUCUAGACAAGGAACAUACCACAUGGAAAAUGAGUAUCAUGACUUUUCCCUCAUGAGGAAAAUGUAAAAACAGCUCCGAAUCCAAAACAUAACUAUACAGUAGCAGAGAUAUUGGCCAUUAAAGCGGGAUGUAAUGGUAGUUUGAAGUUGUCAUCACACAACAACAGAAAACAAAACCAAACAGGCUGAGAGACUGAGCCCAAGGCAACUUGGUUCUCCACAGUCUUCUAAACACUCCUUCUCUCCCCUAGCUCGCUCUCCACAAACCCUAUUUCAAAUGCACUGUUCCUUGCCUAACACUCUGGUGGCACUUUCAAUGGAAUCCAAACUUAGGCUCAAAUGAGAACUUGAAUAGACUGGUGCUAUGCAGCAGGGGACUGGACUAGAUUAUUGUUUUUACAUGCCAAAUAUUUGUCCCCAAAUACUGAUGUGUCAUGUAGAGCUUCUAAUUUAUUAGUUCUGCUGGUUAUAUUAUAAAGCAUAGAAGACAUUCUAAAACAAUGGUUACUUUCUGGGGUCAUCAUUUGCUGAAAGAAAAGGUAUUUGACAUUAAAAAAGUAGAGAUGAUAGAAUAUCGGGAUUAGAAGUUUUAAGUUUAUGAAAUAAUCUGUACAGUCCUGCCUCUCGUUUUCUUUUGGAACAGUGGAAUGUUCAACACGAAUAGCUGGCAGCUGGGUGCCAGUCUUUUCUCUGGGGCAAAUAGUAACACUCAGCUGUGCUACUUUCCCAUUUGGGGCCUCGUUUUGCCCAUCUCUACAACAGGGGUGAUUAAACCUAAUGAAAUACAAAGUGCUAUCCAGAUUCUAGAGCUUCUCUCUAGUCCUCAGAGUCUUGAAUUCUUGCUAGAAACGAAACCUCACUUCCAAUUACCUAACCCUGAACCAGGUAGUGGGCACUUCCCAUUCCUGGCAUACAUGAAGGAAAGCCUUUGCCAGCAGCCAUGAUGCAAAGCACCAGGCCCUUUGAUGUCCUUCACAGUUUGGGAGGGGUUGCUUCUGUGCCUCCACAGUGCUGCUUCUCGAACUUUCCCCGUGAACUCUUUUAGACUGUUUUGCUUCAUACUCACCCCCAAGUUGUAUAAUUGCAAAGCCUCUUGGACUGCCUGUGCUCUUUGUGUCUGUUUGGGCUUGGUUGCUAUAGAGAGAUUUUUACCUCUGGUCUCUUUCCUCUCUCCCUUUUGUCUUCCCCAAUAUGUACUUUCCAUGAAUUCCUCCCUAUUGCUUUUUUCUCUUGAGACAGAAAGCAUGAGCUCAACUGUUGGCAUGGUCCAUAAAUGGCAUUGUCUGAAUUCUUGGCAAAAUCCCAAUUGGGAAAUAUUGGGCUGUAGUUGGUUCUAGGUAGUUGGAGGAAAUAUAAAAUUAAUUAGUAACAUAAUUUAGGGCUUUACCUGCCUUGUAAAAGUGCACUAGUGUUUGUCCUAGAAAGCACUUUCUGGCUCUAAUCCUUCUCCACUGUUCUCAGAAGACUUGGAGUUUAAAUGAGACAUUUUGAGCUGAGUGGUCAUUUUACUGGCAACCCCAGCCUCACUAGUCCUGGGCAAGAAACACAAAAGAGAAUGUGGUACUUGAAGGCUACUGUCUUGGAGUUUGAGGCUAGCUCAGUCUGCACUUGUCUUCAUUUGUCAGUCCUGCUUCCUUGCCUGCUCCCUGCCUCCAGUGUCUCAUUUCAGAUUGUUUCCUUGGCAUCUUAUUGUGUGACAUCUAAAGAAUGAACCACAGAGAAAACAAUAACCAAUAAAUACAUAAGUAAAUAAGUAAAUAAAUAAAUAAUAAGAACCCCUAAACAACUGUGACACUCAAGAGACAGCUCAAGUUACAAUGGUUUCAUUAUUAUUAUUAUUAUCAUCAUCAUCGUCGUCGUCAUCAUCAUCAUCAAAUUUACUUAAAAAUAAGCCAAAGUGAUACAAUUCCAAAAUUCAAUUUGGAUUCAGUUCCUGUAGUUGUUCACUGUUAUGGGUGAUACGCUGUUUUGUCUCUGGGAAGGCCCUAGCUGAGGCAAUUUCCCUGUGAACCACAGCCUGCCCAGCCCCCUGCCUGCCUUCCAGUCCUAGUCCUCUUCAUUGCCCUAGAGCUGGGCCUUCGAAGCCCAGGGUAGUGGAAGCAUGGCACAGUACACUUCUGGGUUCUUCCAGCUGUACUCUCACUGGGGAAAAUCAACUUUGAAGUAAAGCUGGGGGCCUGCCAGGAAACUGAAAAGGGGUUAUUAAAAAUGGCCUUUUUCAAACCACCAGUGAUGUUUUGCUAGCAGAGGGUAACAGGUUACUUGGAAUCUGAACUGCUUUGGGUUUUGGAUUAAAUUGCAAAGUUGGCUGAGAUUUCAGACCCCCAGGGUCUUGAGGGCUGAAGACACAAUUGAAAGCAUAUUAGAUGCUGGCUGCAUCUAUACAAUACCAACCAAUGAGUUAAAAAGGGAGAAUUCACGAAAAUCUGUUUAUUUGGUGUCAUGAACACAAAAACAUAAGCUGGAGUUUAGCCUUGUUCUUUUUAAUUUAGUUUUAUUUUAAUAAAUCCAGACUAGAAUAUUUUGAAAAUGGAAAUAGCAUGCAUUUCUACCAAGCAUUAUACUGCUUUGAAUUUCACUAUAUUCACUCUCACAGCCCUCCCUCAACUUUAGGUAAGGACCAUUCUAUCUUAAGGAUCAAAGAAAAGGGCCAUGUGGGAUUCUUUCCAAUGUUUUAGUCUCCUAGCUCUCCCUUGCCCUGCCCCAAUGCACCUGCAAUUGUAGAAUUAGCCUUUUAACCUUUUGUUUAUUGAGAUCUUGAGAAGACUUUGGUUUCCAAGAGUCCCUGUUCCAAUAUUUAUGCUUGCACUGGUUUUUCUCACCAUCUCCUCUAGCUCAUAGUUGAAAUCCCUGGUAGUCCUAAGCCAUGUUCUCCAAGGUAUUCUCACUCACCCGGGAAGGUUUGCUUGGUAAAAUUCUUAAGGAAAAACCUACUACAAACUGUAUUAAUGUUUAAAUGGAAUCGCUGGCCAGAAAAACCCAGUGUUUUGAGUUAUUCUUGAUUUGAACAUAGCCACCUGGAUUUCUAUAAUGGAUUUAGUGUUCCAUGGCCUGCUUGUGCUUCUCAUGACUUGGAGGCCCCCAAGAAACAUGUCCAGAGGGACCUGUGGCCAAGCGCUGUCAAUGUUGCUAGGGUUUGGGGAUAGACAGUAACCUAUGUGUUUUCACAACUCAGGACCCCAGAAGUGACUUGAACUGCCUGAUUGAAGGAGGUCCCUAGCAGUGACCUCAUGUUUCCAUGAUGGGAGGACCAAGGUUGCAAUCCAGGUUUGGCUAAGGCAUACUGCAAUCCACUGGAGAACAGGGAUAAGGGCUUUGCUCUGCACAGUCUGUUUUAGUCUGUAGUUGGGAAGCAAGCAGUGAUGAUGCGUGUCAGUCUGUGGUCAGUUGUACUCCCAAGGAACUUUAUACAUUCUUCCCCCCAGGGUCCAUUUGCUAGGAGCAAAGGUAACACACAAAAGCAACAAGUGCACAGAGGGUGCCAACUCAGGGUUAGCACUUCCCACACCAUCCUAGUCCAGUUAGAGCAUCUUAGGCUCUGCCCUGGCCCUCCUAGUUGUCCCUUCCUAUGGAAUAUCUGAGGUGAAGGUUUGUCCUUCAUUCUCCAAAAGCAAUUGACAGAGGGAAGGUGAGGGAAAUUUUCUGCUGCCAUGGAAGGCCAGUGCUGGCCAGAGGCCAACUUUCCUGAGUUUCUCCCAGGCGGAUUCCACAAUAGAUGGGGGUAGGAGGAGGCACAAUUGGCCCAGACUGUUUUUAUUUGGUCUGCAGUGUGGGAGAUCAGACGUUCUGAAGAGAAUUGAAAACACUUCUUUCUUUGGAUUCCUGGGGCUGUGUAGGGGGAGCUUGGGCCCCACUUGGCACAGAGUUGAUUACAACAUUAAAAAAAAAAAAAAAAAAACCUCCAAUAUUGUUGCCCAAGGCUGAAUGGAAAGUUUUCCUUCUAGUCAGAGCUGACUCCUAAACCCCACACCUUCUUAAGCCUUUGAUUAGCAGACACCUGCCACCAAGGAGACUAGAAAAUAAUAAAGAUGCUAGGGGCUGCUCACAAAGUCGCUCAGGUUGGAUCAGCACUUAGGGAGGCUGGAUGGCGGAACAAUGCUCUGCCACGUCUGCUAGACCCCAAAGAAUCUGAGGCUCAGAACUCGUAUUCCAAAUUAACGAACAAAACAAGAUGAAAAAGACAGCUCUCUUUGACUCUGCUGAGGUUUUUUUUUUUUUAAUUUCUUAUUCAUUUAUAUGUACUGAAGUUAUUAAAAACAUGAUUUCAUUAAAUGGUGUUGUGUCCAAACCUUAACCUUAGUUGAUGGCUCCUUCUGAGGCAGGAAUGCCAACCACCUCCCAUUUUAUCAGUGCUUUUUAUUCAGAAUGUUUUAAGAAAAGAGGAAUAGAUACAGGAAGAUUGCUAUAUACUGAUGACCACUUUGGGGGGGUUGUUGUUGACAAGAUUGUGUUGGAAGAAACUUGUGGUUGAUACAAAGGGAAAAAAUAACAAGGACUCACAAACAAGAACUCUGCACUUGUUAGAUCCCUCAAAUCAACUGGUAAACAAACGAUCUCUGGAGCUAAAGCACUUUUCAUCAGUGCAAAGAAUUCUGUGAAAAUAUUAAUGAUUACAUAUUUAUAACCCCAUGGACUUUCAAAACAUAGUUUGGAUCACUAAGCAUACGGAUUUUGAUCCAAUGGGAGGUCAUUGUAAAAUGGCUCCUUCUGCAACUGGCCCUGAUGAGCUAUUUACCCAGAGCAAAGCACAUUGGCCCAGUUGUCUUGGUGAUAGACGGCUUGGCAACAAGAGCUGUCUGCACAGCUCUGAGGUGGAGUUGAACUGUCUGUAAUGUCUCCGUUCAAGUUUGGCUAAUUGAAAUCAGGAAGAAAAAUUAAUGUAGAAAGAAGGUGAAAAAAACUACACCUCCAGUUGGGUUUUGCAUGCCUGUUAAUGUGCUAGUUGGGUUUUUAAAAAUGGUUUAGGGAAUUCUGUUCUGUUAUUUUUACUGUGUUAUUGUUAUACACGAGAUGGCACAUUAGCUUCCAAGACAGGGCUAGCAGUUGUGGCAACAUGCCAGUUUCCCAAGGACCCCACGUCAAGUUAAGUUAAACCACUAUCCACAUGCCAUCAGCAGAACGUCUGAGGCAAAGAACAAGAGUAAGUCCGGAACCUGUUUCUAGAAGGUCACACUGCUAAUGCCCUGCUAAGAAUGUUGUAUGCAUAGACAAGAAAGGAAGCAAUGUGUUCAGAAGCAAAAGAAAUGAAGACAGGAGCCCUUAACUAAAUCAAGCCUAUGAACCUUCAGAAUUACAUGCAUAAAGUUGUGUGUAUUCAUAUUCAUUUUUUUUAGUCCUUGGCUUUGAUUAUAUUCUCUAAGGAGGUAACCUACUUCUAUAGGUAUUCAUGUUCACAGGCUUAUCCCUGUUUAGUUUUCCUGGUAGGCAGUAAUUGGGAGACAAGGGAAUGGGUAGAAACUUAGAUCCACUAUCUAGAAUGCUAUGUAGUUCAAGAUAACUGGAUGUGGAGAUAUACUACUUCAGAUCAGAUGAAAAGAAACAUUUUCCUUCCUCUUACCUAUCAUAGUAUGUAACAGAAUAAAGUUUAGACAAAUGUAAAAACAUAAUACGGGUUUAAUAUUUUACCUUUAUUGAAUUCUUUCUUAUUAUUUCAUCUUUCACUUCCGUGAGGUAUUGAAAUGUUUCCUCAUGUCUCCAUUUUAUAGAGUUGGUGCAUCUUUAAGUAGUUGUUGGUCAUAACGGCACCUCAUUUGACGACACAGUUUUCCUUACUCUGGUAAGACUCUCAGUUUCUUUUCUUCUGGACCCUCAUCAUUUCCAGCUCAGUACUGGAGGCAGGGAUUAUGACUCAGUGACAGAGCUGUUGUCUAGCAUGGGCAAGGCUCUGUGCUCCGUGACCAGUACUGAAAAAAAUCCAAAGCUGGACAUUUGAUCUAUUAUUAUCAAAAAACCAACAAGGAACUCAAAUUGUUUUGAAACUAUUGCUAUGUGGCAUAACUGCUCUACCUAACUGCAGUACCAGUUAGAGGAGGAGUUUACUUUUUCCUUUGUUACCUUUUUUGACUGUUGUUUUAUUGUUUGGAGUAUAUAUGGUUGCUUGUACAUGUGUGCUUAUGUAUGUGGGCACACAUGUGCAUGUGAGAGUGAGAAAGCUAGAAUUCAAUAUUGAACUUCUUCAAUCAUUUAUAUUUUCUGGUGUAUAGAGUUUAUCUUGUAUAUAGGGUAUGUGUGUAUGUAUGUGUGUGUGUUUGUGUGUGUGUUAUAUGAUGUAUAUGAUAUGUAUGUAUGAAUGCAUGUAUACAUGUUUGUGAAUGUGGCUGUGCAUGAACCUCACCACAUAUGUGGAGGUCAGAGUAUAACUUGUAUGCCAUAUCUACCUUCUGCUUUGAGAUAGAAUCUCUCAUUCCUUAUUGUGUAUGUCUACCGUGAACAUUGAAGGAUUCCCAUUUCUCCACCUCUUCCUUUUGAUAAAAGUGCUGUGAUUAUAGAUGAUCCCACAUGUAUAUAAUAUAUAAUGCGUGUACAUCUAUAUAUACACACACAAUUAUGUAGGCUUUGAGAAUUUGAACUCAGGUCCUCAUGCUUGUGUGGCAAGCUCAUCAUACACAGAGCUAUCUCCCCAGCCCUCUGCCUUACUUUCUGAGGUAAUAUCUCUCACUGAACCUAGAGCUCACCAGCUAGAAGCUCCAGUGAUCUGCUUAUUUCUACUUAAUCAGAAAUGGGAUAGCAGGUGCACUGCCAUGCCCGGCUCUUUUUUCUUUUAAUUGAUGUUUGAGAUGUGGACUUGGGUCCUCAUGCUUGUAUGACAAGCACUUUACUGAGCCAUCUCUCUAACUCCACUCCUGGUUUUAAAAAUAUCAACCAUUAUUACCUUCACAGUUAGAAAAAAUGAAAGUAUCAGCCAGGCUGAUUUGCCCAUCUCCUUUCUUCACUUUCUCUACCUCUCUGCUGCAGACCAAACCUAGAGUCUUGCCAAUGCAAGCACUGUACCACCGAGGGACAUGUGUCUGCAACUUGCCUUCUAGGUUGUGUCGAUCAUACGUUUGAACGGCCCCAGUUAGAGGAAUGUUAUAACAUCAUGCAUGAAAUUGCAUUGAGGAAUCCGAUUGAAGAAUUCCUGCAAACUCGGAGACUAAGGACAAGAGAACACAAUGUUGCUCAAGCAUCAUUUCUCUUUGGAGUCAUUUUACAUAUAUAUAUAUAUAUAUAUGCAUAUAUGUGUGUGUGUGUGUAAAAUCUAAAGGUCUACAUAAACUCUCAGAGAAUGGGAAUGUGAUUUUAUGAUUUAUUGAGUAAAAUUUUUGAACUUUAGAGAUGAGUAAAGGAGGCCAGGCCGCCAUUCUUUGUAAAUGGAAAGUAUAAAUGUGCCAGCUCUACUCUGCACCCUGCAUUUCACCUUCUGGUAAAGGCUAGCAUUGGGGCAAGUCUCAGGGUAAGGACAUCUGUUUUACACAUUACUAAGUAAUUUAGAAAACUGACGAAAGCAUGAUGGUUUAUUUAUCUUAAGCCACAUCAAAAUGGCUGGGUAAAAGUAGCCAGGUCAGAAAGUUCCUGGCACAAAAUGGGUGCAAAAAAACUGGAACUGAUGCAAAAGUGCUGUCCUUUUUAGGGGGCUUUCUUAAAUACCCCCAGUCAAAAUGAAUGGCUGUCCUUCUACUCUCAUAGUCCCCCUUCUGUAUUCUAUUCCAACACUUAUUUUAUAACCAACUAAAUUACUUGUAUGGAUUCUUGUGAAUUCUUUGAGAACAUGAGACAUGCCUUUAUCAUGUUUGCUGGUGACUUAAGUGCCUUGUAGGAAUUAAUUCAUUUAUUUUUAAAAUGUUUGAUUUUUAAACAUACAUUUUAUUUUUAAUCAUAUUUAAAAUAUUUUCAUAUAUAUAUAUAUAUAUAUAUAUAUAUAUAUAUAUAUAUAUAUAUAUAUAUAUAUAUCCAGAUAUUCUGGUGUUGGGUGUUGGGGGCCUCCUGAUGAAAAUAUGUAGUUUCUCCUCUCAUUGAGCCUAAUGAAUAUUUAGUUAUGUACUUUCCUGCUUUCACCUAUUAUUUUGACUUAAAAUAGGAAAAAAUUGUGCAGGAAAGUGUCCAUAUGCUUUUCUUAUUCUAAAGAACAUAACGUUUUCCAAUUUUAAUCACUUCAAAAGAACUCAUGAUUGUAGUAGUUUCUUCACAAUUAUUAAAGAACAUUUUGGUGAUAAUAUAGGUUGAGAAAUUAAGGCCUUAAGUGUGACAUUGUAUCAUGGCAAUCUUAAUUAGAAAUUGUAAUGCAUCGUGGAUAGAGGCAAGGUGAGAAACAGAGAAGAAUGCAUCCUAGAGAAUUUAAACCGUUUCAGGGAUGUGGUGUCCAUAUGAGCAGAUGACGAGAAAGUGGAGGUGUAAGAACAUCUGCUUGAACUGGGUUUCCUACAUUAUGUCUUCUGUAAUUAAUUCAAAGAGAGUUGGAGACACCCAUGGUACGACAUGUAUUCACUUUUGAACUAGAAGCAUACAGGUCAAUAGUUAUUCGCAUUCUGGAUUUAAUAUUUAAGUGUAGUUUUUUAAUAUUUAUAUUUACCCUGUAGAAAUUUUGGUCAAAUUUUCUUGUUCGGUAGCCUUCUUCCUAAAUAAUCUUCAGUGCACUGAUCAUGUUGAGAUUUACUUAUAAAGUGAUUGGUUAAACAUAUCAAUUGAUUGAAAAAUUAUUUUUGCAUUGGAAUUUAAAAACUGGAAUAUUUCAAAAAUGUCAAAGACACAACCAAAAAUUUCCACAGGCUAUCAUGAACUCAUGAUUUUUGUUAAUGAAUAGCAAUUAUUGGCAAUUUUAUUUUCUUACAAGAAUUUUCUUUAACUUGGCACAUUUAAUAAACACAAGGCCAGGUGUGGUGGCACAUGCAUGAAAUCCCAGCACUUGUGAGACAGAGGCAAGAGAACUGGGCUACAUCUCAAAAAUACCCGUGUGUGUGUACAAGAAAAGUAAUUUAUCUCUAACUUCAUUUGUCAAAAUCUUUCCAGAACUCUGUGCCUUUCUGUCCUUAGCAUCUCUUUUACUUAUUCAUCUAAUGGAAUAAAUAUAGUCUAUUAAAUCUUGACUGACUGAAUAGAUUGAUUAUCAAUUGAUAAAACUAAAGUAAAAGUAUACUGAAUCAAUUAGUUGUGAGGUAGAAUCCAGCCAUUAUUAAGGUGAAUUAUAUAUUUGAAUAAAGUCAUCAAUUGCACUAAUUCACUGAAUGGUUUUUAGACCAAAGUGACCUAAAAAUAUACUUGGACAUGAAAAAGUAGACUUAGAUGCUUUUAUCAGUAGAACAAUUAUUUGCUAGAGACAACUAAAAUUAAAAUUGGUUUAUUUGAUAACUAAAUUAAUAAUUAGAAAUAAAUAAAUUAGAAAGCACUUGCAAAAUUGGACAUUUUACAUCUACUUUGAAUAAAUGAAUUUUAAAGGAAUAACAAUGAAAAGUCCGAGAAGUUUGAAGCUUAAAAGGAGCCCCUUAGCCCCUACUGAGUCCUUACUCUAUCUGCAGGCCCAUUGGUCUGGUGAAUUCAGGGCUCAUGCUUUACUUUUCUUUUGAGAGAGUUCAGUUUUCCAAAGGCAACAACAGCAACUUUCUGUUGGGCACUGUCUCAUUCCUGGAACCAGAUGAAAAAGUUAAAAUUAGUUAUUGGGAAUUGUGUGUGAUCUACAGAAGCAACCAAAAUAGCUCAUUUCAAAAGUAACAUCAGAAAUAAAUGUGUUAGGGGAGGGCAGAGAAAAAAAACACAUGUACUAAAAAUAUACUUAGAAUUCGCUGCAAGUGUCAUAAAGUCAAUUUUAACAGACUGUUAGAAACCAAAACAAUGUUCCUCUAUCUGCUGUCAGUUGAGUGAUUCUCAUAGAGGUGAGGCAAUCUGAGUUAAGCUAACAGAGUGACCUUUCAUCUUCUUGUCAGGUUUUUUUUUUGACAUAAAACUAUUUAAUGCACUCCUUUCUCUCCAUUUUGAGGUUUGUCCAUCCAGAAGUUAAAAUAAGAGGCAUUUUUUAUCCGUUAAAAUCUCCCUUAACUCUUAACCUACAUAAAGCUCUGCCUUUCACAGUCCCCUUUGUUUCAAGACCACACAACAAUCUUCCACCUCUGGGAGUCUGAGGCUUUAAGGUCAACACGGACCACCGAGUCCCUGUACACUGAAAAUUCAUGUGUAAAAAUUAUUAAUCUAUUUGCUUUCUGAAUACCACUCACCCUACUCUUUCUUUUUCUUCAGUUCUAAGUUAAAAAUCUUGAUGGUCUCUUCUGAAGAGGUUUGGGAAACUCAGUACAUAGUCAUGGCUGAACUGGCAUAAGGGGGGGGGUGAGUUACUCUCAUCUACAACUCUAAGACAAUGAACUGAAAAGCACAGGACAGUCAUCGUGCAUUCUCUGCUGCUAUUGCUGGAUGAAGGAAGCUUUCACAAUUGGUUUUCUCAUCAAGCAAGAAAGCUCAGUAGGGAUUAGGAAAGAGUUUUUGAGGAAACCUUCAUAUCACACCUCUCUCUCUCUCUCUCUCUCUCUCUCUCUCUCUCUCUCUCUGUGUGUGUGUGGGGGGGGGGCUUUUACAUUGGAACCAUGUAAACCUGGUUACUAGAAAAGAAGCAGUUUCAAAAUUAAUGAAAAUAUACUUAAUCUCAAAGACCAGAUGGCACACCUGGAGUGUUGGAAUGCUCUCAAGCAUUGACCGUGUAUGUUACAGUUUGAGGCUGAGAAUAAUGUUUAGAGGCAAUUCUUUCUCUGAGCAUGCUAUAGUUCAAUUCUUAGGGUCUGGGCAGCCAUAAAGCUUGUACAGCUUAUGUCUUUACUUUAUGGAUAACUUGACAGGCACAACCAUAAUCAAGUAUCAGAUAACUGUAAGCAUUAGUUGGCAUCGAAGAAUCUAUGAUGUGCUAGGGUAAUAUUUUAAUUACUUCAUCUGAAUUUUCUCACUAACCUUCAAUAAAGCCCAAAGAAAUAUCAUUAUUAAUUCCAUGUUACAGAUGAAGAAUGUGAUAAAAACAUAGUCCCUGAUCAGAUGACUGAUCCAGGAUUCAAAUCCAAAGCAGGCUGUCUCCACACACAGUCACCUCAUAUUAAUUACCACUAAAACCACAAGUCUGCAUUUACAAAAUUAUUUUUCCACACAUUAUUUGUACAUAAGACUAUUUGUAUCAACUUAGCCCAGAAUGUAUAAUAGCUUAGGAGUUAUGUAAUGCAUAAAAUACAGGUGAUAUUAUUUUUCUAAAUGAGGAGACAUGUACACAUAUAAAUCAUGAUGCAGGGUAGAUAGGACUGUAUACUAAGUUUCCUGACUCAUGUAAUUAUUUGACAAUUCUUGCAAGGUCUGUGAGGCAAAAUUAAGUGAAAGAGAAUCUGAGGAUAAUUGAAUGUGUAGUAAUAUUGUUCCAAUGCCAUUAGAAGAUACUGCUAGAUCUUUAGUAGGAUUUGAGAUAAAACCAUUUUACUUGCUGGUACCACACAAAUGAAUGGGAUGAAUUUUUACCAUCAAGAAACUUGCAGUGUACAUGGAGAAUAAACUAGGGUUACAGUGGUAUGACCCAUACUACAGUGAGAAUUGAGGCAUGCAGAGAGCACAUUAUAAAUGGUCUUGGGUAUUAUUCAUAAAAGCUUCAUGUGUUUAUCCCCAAAACAAUGCAGAACCAUUUUCCUAAUGCAGUAAUCUUAUUAAAUCUGCAGGAAAAAUUCACUCUAAGUAGAGCGAGCAGAUUGGAGAAAAAUGAGAUUAUAUGCUUCCAACUUUGAUCUUUUCCUGGUUUUUAUUACAUAACCAACAACUCUCUUAUUUAUUAGUAUCUUUAUCUAUCCAAAUAUAUUGAUAUGUCUAUUAUCUUUGCUCAAUGUAAUAAAUAAAAUAACUACCUUCAACGACCUCAAAGCCCAGCUGCAGAAACAUUUAUUGCAAACAUAUAGAUAGAUAGCAAUAUAGCCACAAGUAUAUUUUUCUUGUCCUAUAUGCAAUCAUAAAGAAACUAAUGUUCCAAGUCUACCCUUUGGAAUGUAGCCCCUCCUUGAGAACACACAAGUGUGUCUUUUUGCCUAUAUUCUAGAACAAAGUGCAAAUAGACAGUAAGAGCUCAGUAGAAAGGUUUUGUUGUAGUUCAGUGUCUAGUAUUUCCACUGACCAUAAGCCCCGUAGUGGCAGCUCAGAGCUUAGAUCUGUUCCCACUUCGUUCUUAUUUCAGAUAACCUUUUGACCUCUUGGUAAAUUAACUGUGUGAAAUUGUGUUAAAAUAUUUUUAUGGCUCAUUCUUUUCUUCUUAACAUAAUAUAGAGAGUGGUUGGAAAUUUUCAGUCACACAUUGAGUAAGACCUGAUUUCAGAUGCCCAGAUCUGUGACCUUAUUCCUCUGGCUUUGAAAGCCUUGUUAGAUAGGUUUCAUGCUACAUAAAUUGAAAAUCCUUAGGAGUUUUAAAGGAUGGUAAGAAUCAAGUUCAUCUAUUUUCCAAUAUCAAGUUGAUAUUCAGUAGAGGAAUUUCAGCUGGACACAGAGAGAACUGAACUUACUGUCUUCGACUUAGUAAUAGCCCUUUGGGAAGGCUUUGGAGGACUCCUCAAAGAAAUCUGCUCAAAAUCUGCCCUGGAAACCUUUCAUUCGUGCUCGGUACUGGAAAAGACCUUUGGUUAUGGACAACUGCUUUCAUUUUGUCCUGGUUCAAAGGCGUUCACCACAGUCCUGCAACUUGUGACUCCAACUUCCCUUUCAUUUGUAGCCAAAUGGUAGUUGUUGACCUCAAGCAGUUUUCCAAACCUUUCAAUACAAAGGCUGUAUCAUAUCCUGAGUUUCCAUGCAAAAGGAUAAAGAUGGUUAAAACUUAGGGGUGUACAUUUAAUGAAAACCAAUAUUUUUAACUUAAAGAAUUAUCAUUGUAUAACCCUUUGUUAUCAGGGGAGCCUCUAGUGUUCAUAUUGCCAUUGGUGUUUUCUGAGUUGCUGUAUGCUCUGUUAGGGGAGAAGUAGUUCCCACCUCUCAUGCAUAAUUACAUAAGGGAACUUAGUAGGUGACUUGAGAAGGAGGGAAGAAAGAUAGAGGUUGAGAGAGGGGCAAGGGAGGGAGGAGGAGGGAAGGGAAGGGAGAAGGGAGGGAGGGAGAGAGGAGAGAUUUUUCUAUAACUCAAUAGAAAGUUAAGGAAUUCUGAAGUCUAGCAGGAAUGUUGAAAUUAGGUUAUAGUAAGCAAACAACAAAAUCUUGUUGCCAUUAUACAAACUAUUCCUAAAUCCUGUCUUGCUGUUUGACAAAAAAAAAAAUUGCUUCUGAUAGUCAUUCCAGUUCCAGGUGACUGACCCUAAACUCCAAGAGUAGGAGGGGAGGGAGAUGAAGCAAGGUGUUGUUUUUGACAGCAGUUCAAGCCUGAUUCAAGAUGUCUUCAUCUCUGCCCAGCUGUCAAAAGCACAAGAUUCAUUUCAUUGGACUAUAUUUGAUUGUAGAUCUGAAGUGGCAAGAUGUCUGGGAGCUGGCACGAGAGGACAAUCUCAGAGGGUGCAUCACCCAAGUUACUUUACAAGCACAGCACAGUAUUUGUCAUGUGUUGUAAAUAGUCAUUUUCAAGUUCUAAAUUGAGACUACUAAGGAUAUUAAGCAAAAGUAAUAUUAUAAGAUUUGAAUUAUUUCCUAACUCAGAGAAAUAGUUGAUAUUUUUAAUUUGAUUUGAAAGUACAUUACCCAAUUUCCUUCAUGGUAUGUCAAAAUUAUUACAGUGAUAUGCACAACCAUUUCAUACAUUUUAGAGUACUAACCAAACAGUCAUUUUGCAGUACAGAAUCUAUGACAACUUGAGUUUUGUUUAGAGGCUUCUGCCAACUCAACAUUUCGGGGGAUAAGACCCAGUAAUUUAUUUAAUCAUAGGAAGCCUGUAGGAGCUGACAUUUGCAGCUCAGAAAAUCCAAGAACAUUGGAAAGCUGAGAUGAAAUUUCAAAGGAAGACUAUAUAGUGGGGAAUUUUGCUAGGAAGCAAAAAUACUGUUGUUUAGUGUGUAGAUAAGUGUAUAAUUAUUUACAUAUCUACUUUAUAUGAUACUAAAGCAUGUUCUUAAGAUCUUUAGAUCACAGAUUUUCAGAAUUGAUAGAACUUUUAAUAGUUAAGUAUCAAGGCUAUUUACUUUCUUAACCCCAUGUUUGAUUUACAAUUAUAACUUCCUUUCAUGAUAGUAAUCUAGGGUCAAAAAAGUCUUUCUUUCCUUCUUUCUUUCUUUCUUUCUUUCUUUCUUUCUUUCUUUCUUUCAGAAAGCAUAGUUUUGUUUAAAUAAUAUGGUUUAGAGUUAGAUAGACAUGAAUUUAUGUCUAGGAUCCACACUUCACUGGAUAAUAUGAAAGGUGCUUUCUCUUAGUUUGGACUUCAGUUAGCAAAUUCUUUCAUACAUGUGCCUUUAAAUGGGUUCAAAGAAUGAUUCAAGAUAUCAUAACAAUCUUCUUUUAAAAAGAUGUUAUUUUAUACUUUUAGAGAAUGUUUCUUGAAUGCUUCUCAUGUUUACACUUUAGGAUAAAGUAGGUUGGGAAAUUAUGUACACUCGAUAUUUCACUCCAGACUAUGUUCCCUUUUAAUAAACAGCAAUCAAGAUCAUUCCAUGUUUAAUUUCCAUAGUUACUGUGCUAUGAGCCUAGUAAUCAAUAUUUUAAUUUUUAUAGUACAUGUAAUACUUCAACUGAAAACCUAGAUUUAAAAUUAAGACCUAGUACUGAGUACUGGCAGAGAAGCAUUAUUUAACUGUGUUAAAAAAAAAAACCCUUAGCUAUUGUUUGUUAUUGACUUAAUAUCUUCCAAGCUGAGUGUACUCCUUUCAUAACCAUACUUAAUCAGUUCUAUAGUGUGCCAGUGUCUUCAAAGAUCUCAAGUCAUGAGGCUGUCCCAGUUAUGGCUGUUUUUUAACAGUAGAAAGAGCAUCAUCUUAUUUUGUUUCUGCAGCUUUGCUCAUGCUGUGCCCAAAACUUGGAAUGCCAUUUCAUUCUCCUCUGAUUCAACGUAAAUCCCAUCCAUUCUUCAGGGUAAUAUUCAGUUUCAGCUUCCAUCAUGAAGCCUUUCUUGGUCGUUCCAAAACAUGAUGCUCUUUCCAAACACAUGGAAUUGAUCAUACACAUAAUAACAUUUACCCCACUCAUUAUGAAAAUCCUUUUAAAGAAAUUUCCCAUGUGUGGAAUACCUACUAUGUGCCAAAUUCUAUAGGGAACACAAAAAUUGAAUGGCGUCUUGAAAUGUAUGCAUGGACAGAGCUAAUUAUUUGGGCUUAAAACAAAGUCACAUUAAUGGAUUAGCAUGAAUCCAUCACUGGCUUCUAUCAAUAGUUACACACUUAUGAGAAGCAUGAGCAGUUUUGAUCUGACAUGAAAGGGAGACAUAUUUGUAAGGGAGCUUGAAACAAAGCUGGAGAGACUUGAAGAUGUCCUAAGUCUAAAGAUUCCAAUAACAAGGAAAAGGCUCUACAGAGGGAAAUAAUUGUAUAUAGAAAAAGAGGCAAGAGAGAUGUCUGGUAUUUGUGCUCAUAUAGAAUGAGCUUGUAGGUCAUCAUUCUCAUCCACAUAGCCAGAAAAAAAAUUUUAAAAAUCAAUUCUUCUUACAUGUACCAGAGAACUGAAGUCCCAGAGAAAAGUACAUUCCUCUAGUUGGACAGAUGGGCAGAUACAGACGACCUUGGCUCAUAAGAUCAGAAAUCUAGGAGCAAAAUAUCACCAUUAGAGCCAGUUGUGGGGUAGGAAAACAAACUUGAGUUGAUAAAUUGCUAGAGGCUCAGAAUAGACAAGCGUGAGAAUUAAAAACUCCAACAGAGGCAGUUUUAUUUGUAUGAGUUUUAGCCACAGGAUCUGUUCGAGGUUCUGCAGUAAAGAUAGGAAAAAAAUCCCCUUGUUUUUUUCCCCACAAGGAGUGGGCAAGAUUAACUAUUUGGAAAUAUACUCAGAGCAUUCUAACUAUACUUAUGGCCUACAGUCCAGGGAAGCUGUUCUGUCAGAGCAUGACUGAAUGAGGUUUUAUGAGUGCCCAGCUGACUUUGGAAGAGAUAAAUACUCAGCUCCAAUCCCCUUUUAUCCUUCCUGUGUCAUUGAAACAGGGGGUGGGGGAAAAUCAACCUGAGGAGCACUUAUGAAGGCGAUACAGGCUGACACAAAGAUUGAGACCAUGUUAUAGGACGGCAGCAUACUUCUCACUACAUCAGCAAGAAUUCUGAGUAACAGGAGACAAUUGGGAAAUAUCUAGAGAAACCUGGAGGUUAUGUAUCACUGGUAGACCUUUCUUACAAGAGGGGUUGAAAAACAUUCUUCAGAAAUAGAUGAAAUAAUGUAGUAAAACAUAUGGAUCUCUGUGAAGAAAGGAAGAUUAUUAUAGGGUGAGUAUAUAGAGGUAAUUUUUUUUCAUUUUUUAUUUCCUCAAGUAUAUGGUUUUUUUAAUUUAUUCUUCCCCCAUAUACUUAAAUAUUCCCAAAAGUUCAUUCUUAAUUAUCAUUUUUCUACUAGGUGUAUAUCAACAUUAUAAUUGGUGAUUAUCGUAUAGGUAGGCAAAAAGAAUGACAUUAGUAUUAUAAGGAAUGAGAGGAAUAAUUUGAGAAUCUUGUUAUGAUUGUAAUACUUGUGAAGUGGUACAGUGUUAAUUGAAAAUGGAGUCUGAUCAGUUAGGAAUGUAUGUUAUAACAUCAGUGGCAAACACUAAAAUAUAAGACUGGAAUUUAGUUAGUGAAAACCCCUGGGUUCUCUCUCCAGGAAUAAGAAAAAAAUAUAGCUUACAUGUUGAAAAAUGAAAUGAAAUAAUAUAUGAUAUACUAUAGGCAUAAAUGGAGUAGAAGAAAAAUGAGACCAAGAGCAAGGAAGCACAUAGAAUGGAGAAAUAGUAAAAAGUGUGGUAGAUACUCAUUCAACUUUACCAGCAGGGGUUUCAACAUCAAUAGGUCUAAGCACUCCCAAUUAAAAGUCAGCUGGGGCUGGAGAGAUGCUCAGUGCUUAAAAUGCAUGUGCUGCUCUUGGAGUAGACCUAUGUUCAGUUCCUCAUACCAACAUUAGUCAGCUUAUAACUGCCUGUAACUGCACUUCCAGGAGUGUUCAACUCCUCUGGACUACACAGGCUUCUGUACUUGUGUGCUCAUAUCCACAUAAAUACAUACUACUUAAAAAUAAAAGAAAAUCUUUAAAAGUCAGAUUGUCAUUUUAGUUCAAAAAACAAGAUUAAAAAAUAAGCACUUCUGUAAUUAUAUUUCAAGUUUAUUAUUUCUUGAUAGAUUCAGUAGGCAAAAAAAUGUGCAAAAAUAUCGUAGAACUAAAAAGGACCACCAAUCAACUAGAUCUUGCUAACAUCUAUAUGAUACAUCAACAACAGAGUAUGUUUCAAUUUAUAGAUAUCAAAGAAUACCAUACGGUUCACUUUCAGGAUAUAAAGGGAAUUAUAUUAAGUUUUAAAGAAUAGAAACCAUACAAUGUAUGCUUUCAGACAGUAAUAUGAUUAAAAUAGAGAUGAACAACAAAAUGAUAGUUGAAAAAUAUCCACAAAUAUUUGGACAGUAAAGAACACAAUUCUAAAUAACAUGUAGGUCAAAUAUUAGGUUUUCAGAAGAAAGAAAAAUACUUUGCAUUAGAUGAAAAUAAAAAAAAAUAGAACUUAUAUCAGGGCUUGUGGGAUUCAGCCAGUGCUGAAUUUGUAGACACAUUUAUAGUACUAAAUGCUAAAUAGUAUUUAAAAAACAUUUUUAAAUCUAUAAUUUAAAAAAAGUUUUAAAAUCUAUAGCUUAAGUUUCUUCCAUAGGAAACUAUUCAAAGAGUGAAUGAUAUCCAAAGAAAUAAAAAUAAAUAGAUAAUAAAAAUUAGAGAAAUAAAUGAAAUUAAAAAGCUGGAAAUAAAUGGACAAAAUUAAAUGAAGUUGAAUAGUAUUUCUUAGAAAAGAUUAAUAAACUUGAUAAUCAUGCAGCCAGAUCAGAUAACAAAAAUGGUACAUAUAUACAAUGGAAUAUUAUCCAGCAACAAAGAAUAAUGAAAUCACAUCAUUUUCAGGAAAAUGGAUAGAACUGGCAAUUAUAUUAAGUAUGGUAAUCCAAGUUUAUAAAGACAAAUAUCAUAUUUUCUCUGAGAUACAAAGUAUAGAUUUUAAAGCAAAGACAGAAAGUAGAAAGGGAACUACUUGGGAAGAGGAGGAGGACCAGCAGGAGAUGGGGGAUGGUUGGAUAUGAGAGGACAACAGAGGAUGAACAAGAAGGAUUUAAAUAUGUUAUUGACGUGUACAAAGAUGUUAUAAUGAAUAUUACUUUGUGCAAUUAAUAUAUAUUCAUAGAAAGUUCAGAUAAAAAUAUGAAAGAAAAUCCUCAAAUGACUGAAAUAUGAAAUUAAGAAGGGGCAAAGCAAUGGGUUUCAUGGAUAGUAAAAGGAUAGUAAGGAAAUACUAUAACCACAAAUAUGAUAACCUCAAUGAAAUGGACCAUUCCCCAAAUGACAAUCUACCAAACCCUUUAAUACCUAGUUUAACUAAAAUUUUAAUUCAAAAAAGACAAAUAAAUCAAAUUUAAAAAUAUCAAAACUCAAAGGGAAUUGAUUAUUUUUAUAAGCCUCUAUCUACUCAGAAAAUUAGUUUGAUAAUUAUCUCCCCAAAAGUAUUAAAUCAAGGUGAAUUGAUGGGUCAAUUUAUCAAAAUUUCCCAUAGAAGAACCUAUACCAAUUCUGUAAAGGUCACCUAAGAAAGGAAAAAAAAAGCAGAAAGAUGUGUUCUGAUUCAUUUCAUAAUUCAGUGUUAGGCGUGCCAGAAAGAAGGCAGGGCCAUUACUUAAUAGUGCCAAGUUCUGGUCUUGACCUCAGCUACUUUCCCGUAUAUGCAAAUCACUAACUCUCUUUCAGCUUCAGUUCUUAUUGGUAAAGUUCAGGUAAUAAGCUAGACAUGGAGGCACACAUCUGUGAUCCAAGGACUCAGAAGGUAGAGGGAGGAAAGUCAGAAUUUCAAGGCCAAUAGGCUACAUGAUACCUUGUCUCCAUAAAAAGUAUAUUUGAUGAAAGUGCUAUGAAUUGGAUUGUGCCCUCCUCCAAAUUCAUAGUUUGAUGCUCUAACCUUGAUGUGUCUGUAUUUGGAAAUAGAGGUUUUUAGGGAGGUAAUUAAGGUUAAAUGAGAUCAUAUUAGUGGAACCCUAAUUUAUUAGAACUGCUAUCUUUAUAAGAAGAGAAGAGACAUCAGAUCUCUCUCUCCCCCUCUUUCCCUUUCCCUCUCUCCUUCCCCCCUCUCCCUCUCUCCCUUUUUCUCCUCCCCUCCUCUCUCUGCAUGAAUACAGAGGAAAGGACAUUUGAGGACACAGUGAGAAGACGAUGGUUAUCCACAAGCCAGAAAAAGAAGCCUCACCAGAAACCAAUCCUGACACCCUGAGUUUGGGUUUUCAGCCCCUACAACUGUGAGACAAUGAAUGUCUUCUUUACAGCACAGUCUAUGAUAUCUUGUUGUGAUAGACUAAGGAGACUAAUCUAACUAUUCUUUAAUAUUGGGAACAUUACUUAGAAGCAAAUGAUCUUCGAAAAUGGUAAAGUUAUCGGUGUUUGCUAUUCUCAUUCUUCCUUUUCCACCGUUGAGCCGUUGAAAACAAUGAUAGGUAACUUACACUGCAUUCCUGGCAUUCAUUUCUCUUUAGCUUUCAGUAUUUGAUUUCUGACACUAUGGUUAAGGUCUGACAAACAUUCUCUUGAUAAUACACUACAGAGCGUUAGAGACAGUUCCAAAUUUCCAUCCAAAGAGAAUAUGCUAAGCUUGGAUGGUGUCAAUGGAGCACUCUGACCUGUGAAGCAUCAUUAGUUUGAAGGCUUUCUUUGUGAUACUCUUUAGAUCUCAGUUUGGAACUGAGUUACAGACUAGAUCAUAUCUCUUCAUUCUCUCCAUUUGAUCUUUCUUUCCUCAUUAAUUCCAAAGUAUGCAAGCUAUAUGCUUUCUAGUGUUUUUUUCCCUUCACAGCCAUUAUCUAGGCACCAAAAACAGAGAUGGAAAGAGACAGGUUUAAUCCAAAGCACCAGUUUCCAUUACCUUAAGCUGCCUCAAUGAUUUUUCUGCUGGGAUGAAAUUCCUUACACUUGGUCUCAGGCCCAAGGUAUAUGCAAUACGUCAAUGAAAUUGCUUGCGACACAUUGACGGGAGUGCCUGGGAACCAUGAGUUUCUUAACUAUUUAAAAAAAAGAGACUCAGAACUUCUUGUAAAGGCACCAAAUACAGAGUUUUCACUUGCCAUGAAGAUCUACCCUGAUGUUGAAAGUGUUUUGUUCUGUGACAGACAAAAAGAUACAUACUCAUAGCCUAUGUCAAAAUGUGUGUUCCACAAGCUUCAUGCAAAACCCUUCACAUUAUGGUGCUAGCCUCCCUCUCCACUCUAUCUCCUGUUACACUGUCGACUUCAGUUGAGUUGACUUCUGUAUUUGUUUCUUUGCAGUGUAGUUCUUGACCACAUAGUAGGCCUUGGGACUACCCCACAGGGUCUUCUUCCACACAUGCCAAAGCUCUUGGGCUCAGAGGGGGAACCUUUUAAAGUGUCUCAUGUGGCUAAAGGCACUAGAGAAGCUUGUUUCUCAUAGAGAAGACCCACCUGAGGAAUUCCAUUUAUGACAGCCUCAUAGAAGGAAUAAGGACCAGGGAGAAACCUUCUGCCACAUGCGGUAUUAAGUCCUGUGUUCUAGCUCUCUUGGGUUUGUGCAAUUACCUUUUUUGGACCAUUACACAGAUAUGACUUUUCUACUUCACCAUAGGGAAGAGUUUAGCAAACUCAAGGAUUGAAAUACAAGCAGCAAUGAAUUUUCUCUCAGCAGUGAAUGUUUGUCCCUGAGCAAGAUGUUUGGCUUUCAUAAAAAGAAACCCAGAAAGCUGUGGAAAAUGCUGACGUCCAGCACACACAUAUGCAAAGGUCUCUUUCACCUUUCAUCAUCUGGGAAUAAUGGCUGCUCAAGUUCUACCUAUUUCCCUUGAUGUCCCAGUUGACAGGAAGAUCCUUGGUGUAAAAGAGAUAUGGAUAUCCUGGCAGAGACAAGAGAAAGGUGUUAAAGAAUGUGGGCCAAGGGGUUCGGCAUAUCAAGGGGAUGUGAGAUCAUUGCUAUUUUGACUUUGGCUCUUUAGUACUGUGCCCUAUUGAUAGCUGGGCCUGGGCCUCCAGGGGUCUCCAAAGUAAAGGAUAGGAUGAGAUACAUGAUGAAGGGGAAGGAAGGCUGCUUCCCAAAUGGAGGUUUGGUGUUUGGAGGUGGGAUGUUUGUAAGGUCAAGAUAAUAUCCCUAGAUUCUAGUCCUAGAUCUGCUCUUGACUUUAAUGUAUUACCUUGGGUAAGACAUUUCUAGGUUUUGGAUCUCAGUUUCUUUAUAUCUUUUUAAAAAAUGGGCUGGAGGCCAGAUGUGUCUCUCCACAUCCAUAAUCACAACGCUUGGUAGGCAGAGGCAGGUGUUAGUCGAAGAUAGUCUAUAUAGUGAGUUUCAGGCCAGUCAGGAAUAUACAGUGAGACCUUGUCUCAAAAUAAAAAAUAAAGAAUGGUUUGAGGCAGCGAAUGUAACCCACUUGGUAGAGUGCUUACCUACCAUGCACAAUGCUCUGGGUCCUAACCCCAAUGCUAUAUAAACAAGGCAUGGUAGUACAUGCCUGUCUGUAAUCCCAGCUCUUAGGUGGUAAUGGCAAGAGAAUCAGAGGUUCAAGGUUCAGCUACACUUUAAGUUUGGGAACAUCCUAGGAUAUAUGAGACCUUGUCUUAAAAACAAAGAAAAAGUUCAGUUUAUCUUUGAGGUACCUUCUCGCACUGACCUUCAGUAUUUUUUGGACCCUCAAAUUGUCUAGAGAAGGAGCAAAUGGCAAGAUCAUUAAAUUUAGACUGGUAGUUAUAGACUAUGAAAAGAAUAAAAGAAAAACAUUUAAAGUACAAAACCACCAAGUAUAUCAUGUUAUUGGAAUUCUACUGUGUGUAUUGCCCACUAUAAGUAUUGUGUGGUCUUGUUCCUAGGGAACAGUUGAAGUGUCUUGGGAAACAGCAUUUUCAUUCUUUCAGUUAUAUCUCCUAAAUUGCUCAUUCAACCAGAAAGGGCUUCACCAAGUUUUUUCAACAGGAACAAGUGUCAAAUUUUUGUUUUCGAAAAUAUGGUCACCAUAACUCUGUAGCACUCUCCUGAUCUCCCUUUCUAGGUUUUUCUCAUAUGUGGCUAGUUUUCUGUCUAUGUAAUAAAUGUCCAAGGAAAUGGAAACUGAUUAAUAUAAUCUGUUGGGAUCAUUUAUUAUUCCCAUCUGACAUGUGUUUGGGAAUAUAAAAGAGUCAUUCUUCAAGAUAGGUAUAACAUGUAUUGUGAUUGCAAUGGAUGAAGAGCCCAGUUAGGUUGCUCUGCUGUAACAUUCUGGAGAUAGAGGGCAGAAGAAACUGGGAAGCAGGAAAAAUUGACAGUGACCUAGCCCUGACCUCUCUCCCAGGUCAGAAAACAAUUUUAAAAUGUAUAUUCUCAUGCUCAGUCUGGCACCCGAAACAUAUUCCUCUUCUCCCCAAGACCUGCUCUUUUUCUGAAUUCACUGUUUAUACUAAUGGCAUUACUGUUUUUCUCUUAUCAAUCACUACCAAUGAUAAAAGUAGCACUUACAUUUUUCUCCUUUGCCCUAAUAAAUCUAGUGGGUUGCUAACUUGUGAUACCGGUCCUUCACCCAUAUUGCACUACUCCACCUUUUAUUAGGCCUUCACUGACUUCUCAUUGCAAAUGUUGUGAUUAACCCUUACCUGGUUAAUUUUCUCCAAGCCUUAUUUACUCCAGUCAAUCAAAACACAGAAUCACAUGUAACCACUAGCAUUCUUUUCUCCCAGUUGCUAGGCUAAGUGUAUAGAGAGGUGAUGUUAGUUUUCAGCAGUACACAUGCAUCUUACUUUGAAGGAAGGGAAGAAGGGGUUGUUUCUCAAGAAUAUAUGGAAGAAAUUUCGGGAGUCCCUACUGAAUUAAGGAAAUACUGUACCUAUGAACUUGAAUGUUCAAGCAGGUCUGACACCUGAGUUCUCCCAUGCCCGUGGCAGACUGGUACUCUUCAUUUCUUUCUGUGAACACUUGAAAUUGCUAAGUGCUUUCUUGUUGCUUUUUACCCCGGAGCCUCAUUUGAUCUUUCUCACAGAUGUUGGGGAUUCAGGGAUUCCCCAUAGGUUUGAGUGUCUCCUUCCUCAUUACUGGCCUUGGCCUCUUCCCACAGCUGUUUCCAUCACUCACAUGGACUUGGCCACGUGGCAGCUUUGUGGAUGGGCUCUUCAGCCAUCUCCCACAAACCCGGGCCAAGAGGUGACAUUCAAUCUAUCCUCAGUGUGUACCUCCAUCCUGCCAAAGCUGUAAAACUGUCUGGGAUUAUAGUCCCUUCCAGUUAUGUGCACGAGGAGGCACUUUCCAAAGGCAUUGAUCAAUUCCCUCAUGAUCUCAUGGCACAGCAGGUAGAGCUCAUGUGGUUUGCAGUAGGAAAGCCAGACCAUAGCAACUAGCCUAGUGCUUCAGGCUCAGAGCCCCUGAAACUCAAGUCACAGGACUCGUGAAGUCCACUGGGUGUUUUGGAACCCAUCCCAAACACAAUUAAAUAUUCAGGCAAAGGGAGAGAGAAUGCUUAGAAUACAAAUGGCCUAGCUCAAUGGGGGUUAUGGGGUGACCUAUCUAACUGGCGUUCCUCCCCCAGUCACCACAGCUUUGCCAUCUUCUCAGUGGGCCUGCUGGAGUCAGGCUUGUCUGUGUCCAGGGGCAGCUCUAGUGGGCUUGCCCAGUAUCCCAGGCAUGUGCAACACUUCCACCUAACUCAAACCACAUGCAGAAGAUCAUGUCAUAGUUGGCGCAUAACCAAUCGAGAAAGGCAUCAGAGGGUGUCCAGACCUCAGCUUGUUUGAACAAAUGUUCAAAAAACAUUUCUGAAGGGAUAUUCCAGAAAAACAUACUCACUCAAGGUCUUAAAACAGAUGUUCAGGCUCUAGGACUGGGCUGCUUUGCAGCUACUAUUAUCAAAUACAAUAAGGCAGGACCAAAUCGCUUUAAGGGUGGGAAGAGGGUGUAUGUUUAGCUUUCUUUCGCAUCUUUAUUGUCAGCCAUGGAAGGAUGUGUCAGAAGGCAGAACAUAAUACUGAGAGGCGACAUGCUAUUGUGAUUCAAUCUCUGGCAUAAAAGGAAGGCAGGCAAAGGCUUUGACCCCUGACUGGCUUGGUGUGUUAACCUAUCAAAGUAUCACUUUGUUAAACUACAAAGCUAAUGGCAACAGUGCUAAUGCUACAGUUUUGUCAGGUGAACUCAAAAAUUGCAUUUAAAGAGAGUGUAUACCAUGUAUUAAGCACUCAGCAAUACAACAUGGUUAUCAGCACCGUCACCAGCAGAGCUUUGAUACUAUUAGCACGGCUGCCCCUGUUAUCACUAGGACAGGAAGCAGGAUUUAUUGCCAAGUUACAUGGGGAGCCGCAGAGGGCCUCAGCUUUGUUCUUCUUCUAGCUUACGGAGAAGGUAAGCAUGCCGAGAAAGAAGAUUGCAGGACUAUAAUUCUGGAUUGAAAAGAAAAGAAUGAGAGCAGUGUAGAGCUCUUACAGUUUGUUUUCCUCAUCUCAGACCAAAGCUCUACCAUCCUUCAUUAGUUUCCUGUGUAACCUAGCUCAAACCACUUUAGAUAAUGGUGUUUCACUGGUUCCCCUUGAAAGUAAAACCCUGGGGCACUUGUUUCCAGGCAAGCUGACAUGUAUUAGAGGAUAGUCUGUGAAUGGAAUGUGUAAGAGCAACUGGUCCAAAACAGGCAAAGCACUAACUUUUUUUUAACACUUCUCAGCUAACCAGCUCACAAUCUAGGCGUAUGCUAUAAGCACCACCAGAAUCUUUUUUAGCUACUGGCAAACAGUGAUAUCCUGGGCUCACUGCUAGAAGGUAAAUUUUCUACAUAAUCAUCACCCUUGUAUUUCACUGUUCCACUAACACUUACUGUGUCAUGAUAUCUAUUUUCUUAUGUGGGAGGUAUGACCCCAGGGACUUGUAUAUGCUAUCCAAGUGCUCUAUUACUCAGCAACAUCCCAAGAUAGAUCUGUAAUAACUCUUUAAUGAAGUUUAUCCAUCUAUUCAUACAUGCAUCACCACCCUCCCUCUACAUCCAUUCAUUUACUAUUCAACAGAUGUUUGUUGAGCAAUGACAACAUCCAAAACAUGGCUAUAAGUGCUAGGAAUAAGGCAGUGAAUUGCUGUCAUGAAGCUUCCAGUCUAGCUGCCUAGUCUGGCCAAGAUAAACGUAUCAUGGAAGUUUACUGGCAAAGUUUAGACUAGAUUUUUGAAACAAAUAUUAGAUAGUACUUUUUUUUAAAAAGUGGACAUGUCUUUAGGGUGCUUGGGUAGAGAGUGAAAGACUGUCUCGCGUCCAGCCUGAGCAGAGGUUCUAGGGGUGGCCUGGGUAAUGUGGCUGCAUUUUGAUUUCUAUGAUGAACCUAGUUGAUUCAAAUUGUAUAGUUACUAUGCUGUAUAGCUGUUUUAAAAUGUGAUAAGAAAAGAAUGUGAUUUUGUUACUGUCUCACUCAUAAACUGGCUCAGAAGGCAGUUCUCAAAGCAGCAUUUCAAAACCAUUCUGAACAAUGGCAACAUCAGAAUACCUUCUCAAGGGGACUGCUUCAGACAGUGCAGUACAUAUCUUGAGUGUACAAAUCCUAAUCUAUUUAAAAAUAAAUAUUACUAGUAAGUACAUAAUUUGUUCAAAAGCAGUGAAAAGAAAGAAAUGUAGACCUACAUGUUUUAAUUCAUUUUUAAAUACUUAAUGCAUUAUGUGUUUGGAUGUGUGAUUGCUAUAAAAUUAAUUCACUUUAAAAAUAAUGAAAGGAGUUUUUCUUGGCACUUUUUUUAGUCACUUCUUGCAUAGUCUUCUGCAUGUGAGUCUUCAAAGUGAACAGCCCAGUUACUUAGCCAUUGUCUGUGAUUUUUUAUAUAAAAAUCUUCCCUUUACGUAGCAGGCUGCAGAAAUGCUGCCUUCUGCUUUGAAGCCAGUGUAUGAUCAAAUUCAAGCUAACUGGUAUUUUUGUUGCAGCGAAAUGUUAAAUCAGGAAUUGUAAACAAUUCCUAGGCAAUGUGUAUAAUGUUGGUAAGUCAUUCCUAGAAAUUGUUCACAAUGCCUGUAACAUAUAUGCAGCUAGCAAGAUUCCUGAAAUACAUAGGAAGCCUUCAAGAAGCUAACUGUGCAUUCCUAGAACAUCUCUGGAUGAUGACAUUUUUUUGUAAUCAAUUUCUACUUAUUUAUAUGUUAAUGUGUCUAGGUGUUAAUAAUUCUGGUAAUAGUAGUACUACUUGAUUUUCAUAGCUCCCAAGGGUUUCAGCAUUAUCUGCCAGUACUUUGGUGAUACAGGGUUUUGGACAUGCUUAUUUUAAGGGGCAUUAGAAAUAAAUUUAAAAAAACCAAUUAGAAGCAAAGGCAAUUACUUGUCAGGUGAGCCAAAGCCUUGUCUAAACUUUCUUACUUCUUUACAAAAGCUUUAGCCAAAGCUUCAUUGCCUUUCUCCCAGCUCACUUCCAACCAAAUUUUGAUAUUCUAAUUCCCUAAGUCAUGACAAAGAAACAAUAAUUUCUAUCAACCUUACUCAGACAUGAUUUUUUUUACCUUUUCCUGUUCACUUAUCUGCUAAUGGGACUUGAUAGUCACAUAAUGUCAUUAUUUAAUAUAUGUACUUGAUUCCUAUUUGUAGUUAUCUAUUUUCAUUUAUGAUUUUGAAAUGAUAUGACUACUGGUUUAUAUUAGCAUUUCUGUGGGUUAUAUCUAUUCUUAAAUCAACUUAGAAAUGAAAACAAAAUGCUGAAAUGAGUUUUGAAUGAGUUUUGGCCUUGAGUUUUAUGAUCAUAUCAAGUCACUGGUUGGGUUUCUUUGCAUGUUGACAGUUAAGUGGAUUCGCUUGACUUCUAUUUGACUAGUGGAAAUGGAUCAUACUGGGAGCCCACACAGAUAAAGCCAGGAAAUGAGCUGGCUAUGUGGGGUUGGGAUGAAGAGCUAUCACAAAAAUGGACAAAGUGUUUUAACAACUGAUCCCAGCAUCUGUAGUGGUGUACAUUGGUCGAUGUAGUAAGAUGCAGCUGGGCAAUAUUUUCUUGUCAUACAAAUGGUCCUUCAAUUUGCUUAGAUGAUGACACUUAACCCCCAAUCUCAUCCCUAUUAUAUCCAGAUAUGACCCAUCUCCCAAGGCCCAACUCAAAUUUGUCAUAGUCCAUCUAGUUGUUUUGGUCCUCUCUGGUGUAUCUUCAUUUAAUGCCUCUAGCCAUUUAAGGUUAAACUGAAUUGCACUGAUCUGUAUACUGUGUAUUUUUCAAGGAUGUCUUACACUUAUGGUGACCAUAUUUUCCAGCCAAAAAUUUAGAACAUAUCAUCUGAAAAUUUAAGUAGGCUAUUUGAAAUCAGUAGUCCUCAGGGAAACACAUGUUUAUUCCCUUCAGUGUCUCAUUGAACAUUCAGCAUUGAGUAUGAUGAUAGGAAGAUGAAGAAAGAGAGACAGUCAUAUUCACUAAGUAGCAAGUAAAAGGAGUGGAUGUUUUUGGAGUGUUUUGUAUGGGCAGGCAUAGCUUAAGUGCUUUGUUACCAUGCCUUGGGAAUAAUUUAUUGGCCCUGAAAAUAAAAAUAAUACAAGAAAGAAGAGAAGCAGCACAAGUACCCAUAGUGGAAGACAUUGUGGAAGGACUGUAUCAUACAAUGCAGCAGGUAAGGGAAGAAGAGGAGGCCUAAUUGUCAGAAAGACAAUUAUAGACGUUCUUCCUAGAAGUUCUUAAAGGUCUGAUUAAACAGAUUUUUCACCAUCCCUGUGUAUCCAAGGUUGAGUGUGUACUGCUGAUCUUUUUGCCUUUACUCCUCAGAUUCUGCCAAUGCUGGGAUUACAGGAGAUGCUCCCAUGCCCAGUACAAGUGUAGGCUUAACAGUAGAAUAUAAACACUGGCUUACCAAUGAACACUAUGCUAUUGUUCAUUGUUCAUUGCUUUACAUUUGCAUUUUGAAGGUUUCGUGUUUCAUCUUGAACUCAGAAUGAAAGACCUGGGCCUGCGUCUUCACAGUCCUUGGUGUUGCAAAGUGAAUCUUUCCAGUCAUGUUGUUGUGCUCUUUGAACCACAUGUGAGGUCUGAUGUAUAGAACAAGCACUUCAGAAUUAUGUAGAAAUAUUUGAGGUAAAAAUGUAAAAACUAAAUACAAAGCUGUUUCUUGGGCUCUCUGACAUGCAAACAAGGCAACUUUCUUUUAAAUCUUUAGGCAUUUUUUUCCUACUUACCACACCUCCAUCCUUAAUUUUAACCUUCAAAUAUACCCUGUUUUUGCCAUAAUGACAGGAGCUGAAAUCUGCCUUCGGUUUCCCUAUACCUCUUUGCCACGAGCUUUAGAUUUCUUCCCUCCUGAGCCUGUUAUAAGCCAUGGAACAAUGUACUGUUAUUCCUCUUCUCCCUGAAAAUGAAAAGGUGGCUCUUCCAGAUGAUGCCAAAAAAGAUGGGAAUGUUACCCCCAGGGUGUGGGUAGAUCAUUUGCAGUGUCAGGAAGAAUAAGCGUACUAUAGUUAGCACUCUCAGACUUUCUAGCAGAGGCUUAUCCCUUCUGAUGGGUCCUCAGGAGGAUGAGUCAGGAGGAAUUACUGCAGUGUGAUCAUUACUGAACUCCUAAUCAAAGGCCAGCUGGGAAGGCCAGCUGAAGGGAACUGACCCUUGCUGGCAUCCAAGCAAGCUGUGGAUUUGGCCGGGUGAAGAACUUGGCUAUGAUGGAAUGAAUCAGGGUUAAUAAAAAAAUGUUAUGCAAGGUUUUACCAAUAGGCUAACACUGUACAUAUGGCAGGCCUGUUCUCUUCUAGUGCUCUCUGACUGGAAGGUAAGACAAAGCAAGAUCAUCACCCGAUGCUUUUGAAACAUAUGGCUAAAAUCUGUUGUGACAUCUCUCAUACAAUAUAGCCAAUGAAUCAGAUUUUCUCUGCAAUUAUUUCAAGAUAUUACUUGGGGCAAGACAAAAGUUAGAGUCUGUUCUUCAUGGAUCUCUUUCUUCUUGGAACAGCCAUAUAUCCUAUGUUCAUGUUUUAUACCCUCUUCUAUCUAUUCUCCAACACUUACCAUACCCUCCCCAUGACAGAAGGCAGGUCUGAAAGAUGUAUUCUUACAGAAUAACAUCCUUUUCAAAAGCCUUAUCACAGAAGCCAUUGGCCAGGUAGGACGCCUCUGUCCUAUUUUCUGGCAGAGUUGCUAAGCUUUCCAGUAUUACUAUCCACUGGAGACUGGGAAGGACUGGGAAGGACUGGGAAGGACUGGGAAGGACUGGGAAGGACUGGGAAGGACUGGGAAGGACUGGGAAGGACUGGGAAGGACUGGAAAGCAGCUGUCCCUAGCAGAAGUCUGCAUUAGGAAACACUUUGCUUGGAAGUUAAGGUGAGAAAUCAUCAGGCAAGGAAAGUGUAUGUUCUUAUGAUCCAAAACAAUUAUAAAGUCACUUUUCCCAAAAGGUACAUUGCAUUAUUUCUUGGACUGUGGGAUUAUGGGGGUGGCAGUAGGAGUGGGGGUGAAACUAGGAUGAGUAACAGUUUUGGAACAUAAAGCCCUACAGUUUUUCCAUUUUCUGUCUAGCUGAGAUGGAAUUAAAGAGAAAAAAAAUGUAAAACUACCUCAAGAAGCUCCCCCAGAACAUUUCCAGUUCUAUGAUUUUUGGGAAAGAAUCUAACAAGAGUCCAAGUUUAAUCUCUUCCUUGUGAAAACUCAGGCUUUCUCUACUUUCUACGAUGUGAUGAGUUUUGUGAGCUUGAAGGAAAUAGAGAACACUCAGCAGUGUCCCGUUUUCUUUCCUUCCUCUGAACUUCAUGUUGUUCACUUUAUGUAGUGACAUCUUGGGAAUAUGGCUGAUAGUCCUAAAAGAUGUAGAUGCCACAGAAAGAAGCAAUCUUAGGUGGGGGGCAGAAGAGAACAUAAGUGAAUUAAUGUGAUCUACAAAAGCAUAAUAGGGGACUAUGGGGGAAAGGAAGAGAACCAACCAGAGAGGGCAGGGAACAGAGGCUAGGGCAGUGGGGCAGGGGGACAGAUAAGAAGAAAGCAUAAUGAUACAUAAGCUAAUGCCAGAAUGAAGUCCAUUACUUUAUAUCCUAAGUUAAAAUUUAACUAAAUGGGGCUGAGCUAGGACCUCUGUAUAUAUGUUACAGUUGUGUAGUUUGAUAUUCUUGUGGGAUUUCUAACAAUGGGAGCAGGGUUGUCUCUGACUCUGUUCCUUGCCUUUGGAACCCUUCCCCCCUACUGGGUUACCUUUCUAAUCUUAAUAGAAGAGAAGGUGGCUAAUCUUACUGCAACUUGAUAUGCCAUGGUUGGUUGAUGUCCACUGAGGCUAGCCCUUUUCUGAGGAGAAAUUGAGGAGGGGUAGAUUGACGGUGGGAUGGGAGGGAAGGACUGGGAGGAAAGAAGAGAGGGGAAACUGGACAGGAUGCAAAAUAAAUAAAAUAAAAAGAAUAUUUCCAAUAAAUAAACAAUUUCUGAAGCUGAAAACAAAACAAAAAUUUAAUUAAUAAAGAAGAAAUACAUUGACAAUCAAUUGGGAGCUCAAAUGUUAGCUCAAAUACUUAUAAGAUCUGUGGUCAUGGAUAACCUACUUAGUUUUCUUACAGCUCAAUCUCCUUGAUUGUAAAGAUAAGUCCUAUCUUUUGGAGUUAUUGGGUUGAUUAAAAUGUCUUGUUCCUUUAUAGAUAGACAUAAAAAUAGAAUUAAUGCUUAAAUGUUUUGUUCUUGUUAGGUGUGGGGGAGAGGAAAUUGAUAAAUGUGGUUUCUUGCAGCCUCUUUCAAAUGAAGAAUUCUGGGUCUUUUAAAAGAAAAUUCAGGUUGGGACUGACAAGAUGGCUUGGUUAGGUAACUUUGCUUGACACUAACUAAGCAUGAUGACCUGAGUGAAAUCCUUAGAACCCAUAAGGUAGAAGGAAAGAACCAACUGCUGCAUGAUGUCCUUUGACCUCCACACAAGUGUCUCCUCCCACAAAAAAAUAAGUAAAAUGUAAUGACCUUUUUAAAUAGAAAAAUUGGGUAUUGCUUCUAGAUAUUUAUUUAAAAGAAUUAUUCAGGGCUGAAUACUACAAAACUUGCCUGGUAUUCACAAGGCCAAGGCCCUCAGUAACCCCCAACAUAUAUUUACACACACACACACACACACACACACACACACACACACACACACACACACAUGCACACUCAUUCUCGAACGUGCACACGAACAGAAAAAGGGGGAAAUAGAAAAGGAAAGAAUUAUUUAUUGGUGAGUUUCCUUGAAUACAUAAAAUAGUUCUGCAUCUAGUCUAGGUCCUAUGACACAGCACAUUUUCAUUUUGUGUUUCUUGAAAUGAAUGAUGAAUAAAUUAUAGAACUUCAUAUACUACAGAUUCUAUCAGUUAUAAGAGAUUUAAAAAUCUCUUGAGGCUAAAUAUAUUCUUGUAAUACUGAGGAAAGAUGGCAUGCCACAUACUAUGUGGUAAAGAGAGGGAACUCAACUAGAAGAAAAGGCUGGGUUUCUAUUUCAGCUUUCCUAUGCUCCACUAGGUAUAGGCUAGUCACUGCAACUCUUAGGUCCUCAUUUAUUCAGUAAAAUCGAGCUAAUGAUAACCUUCAACACUUCUUUCCACAACAGUGACACCUUGUUCUUAUUGGUAGUCUAGAUAACCCAUUUUUAUAGAGUAGUUGUCAAGCCAGUUAGAAGUUUUAAAGUAUCUGUAAGGUCAGAAUAGGUACCAUGAGCCCUUUUAUUCCAGAGUGGUAGCAUUCUUAAUCAUCAGGCUAGGAAUAAGUGAAUUAAAUUGUAUCGGUCACAUUCAGGCAAGAUUCUGUGAAAAUAACCUGACCAAAAGCAUCUUUGGGGAGAGAGGGUCUACUUGCCUUACAGUUCCAACUCCAUCAUUUCAAGGAAGUCAGGAAGCUAGUCUCAUCACAUCCAUAGUCAAAUGGAGAGUAAUUUAGCAAGGCUUUGCCUCAAGAUGUAAUUUUAAAGUGGUUGGAGCUACAACUCAGUGGUAGAGCACUUAGUGCAAAGACCUGCACUUGCCUGCAGUUGAUCCCCAGCGUAAAAGCCUCCUCAGUUGUAAAUUCUUGAGUCCAUACAAGAAUAUGACUUAAAGAUAUAGUAGAGGGUGUAUAUACAGACUGAGACCCUAGCUAGGCUUGGGAAAAUGGGGUCAGUACAAGCAGGCUAGGUUCUAGAGAAAUCGUAACUGGUUCAUAGGCUCUAGAACCUGAGCUGAGCACACUGGAUGUAUGAGGCUGGCAUGGCAUACAGGGAUCUGGACAAAUUCUACAGUUUGUUGAAACAGAGGAUAAGGGACCCAAGCUAUCUAACAAGAAUGGAGAUCACAUGAGCAUUUGGGGAAUCCAGAGCACUUGUCUUAUUAUACCACUGCGCAAGCUUUGUGACCCCAGCUAGAACUGGGAAUGUCAGUAUCACUCAUUCCACUGGGCUGGUGCACUGGCUGUGGAACCAAAGAUAGGACUGGGAAGCAACUACGAGUGUGAGCAUAUGAGGACUGGGAAGCAUACAGGGACCCAGGAAACUCAACAAGCCAGACUGGUACAACAGCUUUUGUGACCACAACUAGACUGGCGAAUGAGGAGACAUAAAUUGAGAGGGAGAGUCUGGAUUACUCAUUAGGCAGUGUUGGGAUAUUUGCUAUGGAAAUCCAGCUAGGCCCGGGAGUGUGGGGAUUACGUGAGCUCAUCGGGAUCUUUGUAGCACUAACAUGCCUGAAUUUAGGAACAAGGCAAUUGACCACACCUAUGCAUACAAAGAUGUGGACGGAGGAGGUGACUGAGGAUCUAGUUGACUCACUAGGCUUGGCCAUAGAACAGUCUGCUGGACAGAAAUAGGACUUCUGGGAGUAUGAAGAUGACAAGUGCAUGAAAAUGAUGAGGGACAAUCACAAAAUCCCCAGCAGGAUAAGCAGGCUGCAGGACCUGCACCUAGACAUGGCACUAUGGUGAUUACAUGAGUACUUAAGAAUCUAUGUCAUUCACCUUGAGCUGGUGCAUAUGCUGUAUGACCCUGAGUACGCCAAAAAGUUUAGGGACAGUGAGUGUGGGUGAAGUUCUAGGGAUAUGUACAAGGCUGUGCUGGUAAGCGUGCAGCAUGUCAGAAAGGCUGAAAACAAACAGGGUAUGUGAAAUCAUAAGCACUCACCAGGAAGCGGUGUUGCAUUGCAUAGGUUUUGAGACUCAAGAUAGGUGUGGAAUAUGGGCACCAUGCUUCCAGGCUGGAAAUUGAGUUGGUUUCUAAGAAAAGUCAGUGUACAGACUACAGGUAAUUAAGGGGUCUGCUAAUGUGGGUGCUGGUGAGAUCACAGCCAAUUCUGGGAUGGGGCACACAAAGGACCCUUUGAAAUAUCAGACUGCAUGGACUCAUGCACAAGCUAUAGUAUACAACCUAGGGCCAUAACUGUGCCCAAGGCGUGGAAAUGUGUGUGUUGGUUUCAUUAGAUUGGUCUACAACACAGAUUUUCAGCAAGAGUAUGAAUUAUGAAAUUAGGGGUAGGCAUGUAAGGAAUUGGAGUUCUCCCUUUGCUAGCUUAAUGUGCAAUAGAUAUAAAUAUAUCUAAACAUGAGAGUAGAGUGCCAACAAGGUCUUGAUGUGGGCCUGAUUGAGGUAGCAAUAUGACUAGGCCAUUAAAAGGAUUGAGUUUACAGAGCACAUGGAUUAUGGCAGUGGUUCCCGAGCUGUGGGUCACAGCCCAGAUGAAUUGUCUGAAAACACAGACCUAUGACAUGACCAUUCACAACAGGAGGAAAGUUAGAGUCACGAAGUAGAAUAAAAGAUAAUAUUAUGAUUGGAGGUCACCACAACACGGUGAAGAAAUGUAUCAUUCAGGGUUGUUGAGGCAUUGGGAAUUUUGAGAUCUGCUGUUUUAUGGUGAUAGAGUAUGCAUGGUAGAGAGAGCUGGGUCAAGUCCCUGGCUUGGCAGAUGUAAGGUUCAAUGUCCCAGGAAACCCUGUGAUCUAGGUGUCUUCUAAUAAUGGUAGUCAGUAUUUACCUGUGCCACUGACUAAGCUUUAGUGUUGCACAGGCUCGUGGACCGUAAGCAGGUCUUCAUAAAGUAUGGGAAAUACUUCAUACAGUAUGGGUGAAUGGAAGGCACAGCCUACCUCCCAGGCUGGUCUGACCAUGAACAAUGGGGUCCCAUUUCAUUCUGGGAUGAUUCAAAUUGAGUAAAAUACAGUUAUAAAAACCUCAGAUGGCUGGGCAGGAGCACAAAACCGAGCAACAGCAGCAAGUCCAGGGAACAGUAGACAAAGUCAAGGAGGGUGGAUCAGGGUCACUGGGCCCCCUAUGAUCCUGGGUAGUGAGGACUGCAUGAACAGGAACAGAUGUGGGACUCAAAGAUAAAGAUCUGAUAAAGAUGAGGGACCACCCACCCUAGGGCUCUGACCUUGGUGAUCUGUUGCAAAUGUUUGUCCUGGGCACACAGAAUCUCUGUCUGUCAACUGGGUCAUGCAUUAUGAAGAAAGGACCAGGCAUGUGGCAAACUGGAGCAUUCCCUCACAGGUCUUGUGCACAAGGGGUGCAAAUUCAUCAAGACUUGGAUGUCUGAACAUAAUCGUGUAAAGGCAUGUCUGUGGUCUUCACAUUGCAGGAUUUGAGCACAGGCUGUGGACCCCCUCCCUCUGCCUGGGAUUAUGGGACUGUGUCUAUAGUUGAGGGUCCAGGGUACUCAUCUUGCUGGUAUGUUGCACAUGGUAUCUUACUCUAAGUCUAAAAAUGUGGGACAGUGUAGGUGUGUUAUGUGCUGGACACGGACAAGGUCUUGCUGGUUUGUAGGCCGCAUCACCCUAGCAAUCUUUGGACAGGUAGAUACUAGGUGGAUUGUGAUCUAAGGAAGGCUAUGCCAUGGAAGGAACUUUGUAUGGCCAUCUAUACCCAAAUAAGGCCUCAAAUGUGGGAACCAGGGCAUUCAGGAUAGGGGUGAUUCUUCCUGAUAGACUAUUAUGCAGUCUUCAAGAUACCAGCAAGGCCUAGCAGUAUAUGGUCUCAUGAGCCCCAUGGUGUUGAUAUGAGCCUGGUAGAGGGAACAAUGGGUUAGGGCAUACAACUGGCUGAAUGCUGUGAACAUCCACAGAGUCCAUGGAUUAUGGCAAUGGCUCUCAAACUGUAGGUCAUAACAGGUUCUGAAAAUACGCGCUCUUUUCCAUGGCAAUUCAUAACAGUAGCAAAAUUACAAUCAUGCAGUAGCAAUAGAAAUAAUGUUGCUGUUGCAGGUCACCAAAAUGUCAGGAAUUGUAUUGUACAGGGUGGAGGCAUUGAGAAUGUUGAGAACCACUGUCUUAGGCUUAUAGAGCAUGUAGGGUAGAGAGGUCUGGCACAAGCUGUAAGCUUGGCAGAUGUAAGGUUCUAUGUCCCAGGAAAACCUAUGUGUUUUGUGAGUAGACACAAUGUUGAUGGGUAUGUCCUGUGUCACUCACUAUGCUUUGGAGUUGCACAGUCUCCUGGAGCCUAGUCAGGCCUUGCCUUCAUAGGAUAUGGGAAUCAUAUGAGUGAAUGAAAGUCAAGCCCACCUCCUAGGGUGGAUGGCCUUGAGCAAUGGGAUCCCAGUUGGUUCUGGAAUGAUGAAAAAUGGGUGAAAUGCAGAGACAAGUGAAUCAACUGACUGACGAGGAGCACAAAACCGAGCAACACCAGUAAGUCCAGGAUGCAACAGACAGAGCCAAGGAGGGAGGACUGGGGUCCCUCCAGAGUUUGGAUGGGGGAUGUAGUUGUGGAGCCCCAUCCGAUGCUGGGUAAUAGAGUCUGCAUGAGCAUGGAAGCAUGUAGGACUCCAAGCUGCAUAUGUGGCAUGCUGCAUAUGUGGGUCUUCAGCCAGCCUCGGUCUGUGGCAAUGGGCUGCAAAUAUAUGUCUUGUUCCAACUAGAUUGGACUAGCACAGAAUAUUUGUGUCCUAGCCUGGCCAGGCAUUGUGAAGUUAGGGCUAGGCCAUUGGGGAAACUGGAACACGCCCUGGCUGGUCUAUUGUACACGGUGUCCAAAUCCAUCUAGACCUGAGUGUCUGUGAACCUCCCCUUUGAUGAUUGCUCUAGUUUUUGACGUUUUUCAAAUGGAGCAGAGGCACAGGGUUCAUACUGUACCUCUAUGCUUGAUAUUGCCUGAGGAACUGAGGAGCUGAGGCAGUCACCUCUGUUCUGGUACACAUGAAUUAUAACCCUUGCUUGGGCUAAGAAUAUGGUGGAUUAUCCUCUUAUAGUAUCCCUGGAUAUGCAGGAUACAUGCAGAAACUGGUAUUUGAUGUGUGUGGGCAAAGGUGUUAGGUCAUUUCAGGGGUGUCAAUCACGUCUUUUUCACUGAUUACCAUUUGCUUGGUUUCUCUGAUAUUAUUUUCCCUGUAUCUGCCUUGGAGUUUCCAGGGUUUUCUUUUUCCCAUGAUACUCCUGUUUAGGAGUAGGGUUUUUUCUCAUUGUUCCAGCUUGCGUGUUUUUGAACUAUCAAGUGUGACUAAGGGAUGUCUUUUGUGUAUACACGUAUUUUUUUUCUGCAUUCUCUGGUCCAACAGCGAAAGAUACAUUUCAGCUGUGUGGUUUUGCUAUCACAAAUCUUCUUACACAUAACAAUUAUCUUUUGGGUAUUUUAUGGUUCCUUCUCUGUCUUUUAUUGGCCUUGCACUAUGAGCUCUAUGGCCCCCUCAUCUCUUCUUACCCUGUAUCAAAAGAAGCUUUCCAUGAGAUGUUUUCCAAAUUAAGAGUAGCAUGAAUCAUGAAAGAUAGCUUCUGCAUUUUACUAUUCCUGCUCUUUCUGCUUUGAUCAUUAAGUCUUCCAUAUCUAGUUUAUCUAGUUGCCUAUGUUCUGUCCAGGAAAUAAGUCUUUUAAAUCAGCAUUUCCAAAAAGGUCAUGUCAUGUAGCUUUCAAAGGAAGUUUACCACUUUUGUAUCUUUACUGUCAUUAUUUAUUCUAUUCUAUUCAGAGAGGACUUAUUGCAUGCAUGCCUUCCAUAGCUGGAUUUGUUUUGGUCACACAGGAGUCAUCAAUCUCUAUGUCCUCUCAAGUUAUAGCUGCCUUCAAAUCCUAAUAUCUACUUCAUAUUCUUGUCCUUCCCACAUAUAUUACUUUAAUAGUUACUGAAAUCUUCAAUUUUCACAUCUUUUUUUCUUUAUCAUGGAACUUUUUUACUCUUUUUUAUUGGAUAUUUUUAAUUUACAUUUCAAAUGUUAUCCCCUUUCCUGGUUUCCCAUCAAUAAACACCCUAUCAAUUUUCACAUCUUUCAAAGUCAUAAGUAUUUUGAGUGCUCCCUUCCAUGGCAAUAAAUGUGUGAUGAUAAAAAUGGAUAACAUCUUCCUAUUUACUUCAUGAAAUAUAUUCUGCAUGCUAUAUUUUCUACCAUGGAUAAUAUUAUUAGAAAAUAAGCCUUCUAUCUCAUGUCUUUCCUAACCACAGCUUCUCAGUGCAUUGAAGGAGUUUUCCAUAUUAACUUAUUACUGAAAAUGAGUACCCAUAAGAGAUAUAAUCCAGUUCUAAGUAUUGUAUAAUCAUUAGGGACUUUGGUUUCAAGAAGAAUAUCUAGUAUGGCUUAUUCACUCAUAAGAGUUUUUUAAAUCAUGAUAUAAUUUUUCCAUGCCUAUAUAUGUUUAACUCACAACUACUUUAGCAAUAAAUUGAAUUCUCUGCAGUCAUAUCCUCCCUGUUGCUGGUUUAGUACUGGAAUAAGUCAUCCAUCACCAUGCAUUUUCCCUGAUAUAGAUGUGGUUGACAAGAAAGUGAUGCUCAACUUCUAUGUGCUCUCACUUGGUGCAGGGUCAUAGUUGUGAAAUACCUUCCAAAUCCAUUUUUCUCAGGAGCUAAAGUUGCUUGGUAAAGCAACAAGUUUUCCAUGACCAUGUCUUCCCAUUCUAUAUCCACCCCACUUAAGGAAAUUCUCCAGCCUCUCCUCUCCCAUAGGCCCAACAAAGUUGGUCAGAAAAAAAGUUUCCACCACUGACCAAGAAUGAAGUUCUUCCCCUUUCAUGCUUUUCAGGUACCUCUGCUUUGAUAACGCAAGGAACCAUUCCUACCUUGUAUCUUUCAAAGUCUCUCUGCUCUGCUUAUUAACUUGAUCAUUAAACAUUGUAUGUUAGGGCUCCUUCCAGAAAAAAAAUACCUUUCUGUUUCUGCCAACUAUUGCUGUCUUUCUCAUAGAAUUAUUUUUCCAUUAUCAUGGCUCUCAAGUCAUGGCAGUUUUCUCCUUGCCAUUUAGGAUUUAUAAAAUCUUCUAACUCCACAUCUGUCCAGCUGUGUCUAUUUCUGUCACAUUCUAGUUUUGGUUUCCUCUUCAUCCAAGUAGUAAAGAGAUGAGUAAAGAAGUCUAGUACUACUGCUCCAAUUGUUGUCAGUGUGAAUGAAAUCUGUUCUAGUGGCACACAGGAAAUUUCCUCUUUCCUCUCUGGCCAUUUCUGCUCUGAGCACUGAAGAUUUUUCUGGUUGUGCAUUUUAUAUGAGGAGAGCAGCUCUUUGUGUGUUUCUAUUGAGAUAAUGAAUGUCUCAUCUGCCAGGAAGACCUGAACUUACUACAUUUUCCUACAGUGCUAGCUAACAGGGCUUUGAUAUAUGUAUCUUAGCUCUAAAGCACCCACAUAUUAUUAAGAAAUGUAUUACUUCAUAACCUAAUUAUUUGUAACAAAACAGUAAAAGCUACUUCUUUUUUUAAUUGGAUAUUUUUUAUUCAUAUUUCAAAUAUUAUCCCCUUUCCCAGUUCCUGUCCAUAAACUCCCUAUCCCAUCCCCCCUUCUUCUAUGAGGGUGUUCCCCCUUCCCAAUCACCCACCCCUUCCCACCUCCCCACCUGACAUUCCCUUACACUGCAGGGAGGGGGGGUACCGCUUGACAAGACCAAGGGCUUCUCCUAGCAUUGUUGUCCAACAAGGCCAUCCUCUGCUACAUAUGCAGCUGGAGCCAUGGGUCUGUCCAUGUGUACCCUUUGGGUAAUGGUUUAGUCCCUGGGAGCUCUGGUUGGUUGGUAUUGUUGUUCUUAUGGGGUUGCAAGCCCCUUCAGCUCCAUCAAUCCUUUUGCUACUUCUUUAAAAAAUGCUAGAUACAAUAGGGUCAUGUUGCCAUACAUUAAGUCUCUACACUUUCUCCUCCUACACAUCUACUACUUCAAGAUUCUCUUAGAAGAGUUCUCUCAACCUCAUCACAGUGAACGGUCUUUUGCAGAGCAAGUGUGAUUUCAUUAUCUCACAUUUCUAGCUUCACUCAUGUCUUAGACAGUAGAGAAACUAAAGGAUAUGUUAAUUAGUACAAAGUUCUAGCCAAGGACAGCCAGGUAGAUGAGCCCAGUUUGUUCUCUUUUGUACAGUUUCGCAUUUCUAUAUAUGCCUAUUUGUAUGUAUGUGUUUCAUUUUCAUGCUGUGUGUUUUGGCACUUUACUCUGUAUCCUGACUGCAUCCAACCUAAGAAGGAGACUCCGAGUGUAGCACAGGGAACAUAUUGUAAUCAUGCUAUGACAAUGGCCAAUUCAGCAGCUACUUCUCUAAAAGGUGACUAGAUCUCAGAAGCAAGCAUGAAAACCCUCCCUAAAAUGUCAACAAUACCCUAGAGGACAAUGAGGCUUUCUAUGGGAAAAGCCAAUUAUCUGCCUAGGAUAGAUGACAUGGGGAUGUAUGUCUGUCUCAGCUCAUCCCCUUCAUCAGACUAAACGUAGCAAGAAAAUUCAGGCUUAUAACUUGGAAAAUGUCACCUGUGGGUGAAGUAUUCUUUCCAUAAAAACACCAUGAGUGCUGGGCUUGGUGAUAUACUCCUAUAAUCCUACAACUGAAAGGAGCAAAGCAGUAGGAUUACAGCACAGCCUGGGUUGCAUGAUAAGGACCUGUCUAAAUAAUGGCUGAUAUGUAUAACUUUUACUUAUAUUUGCUGUUCUUUCUUCGGAAUAUCCCUGGACCUCUGAAUCCCAUUUGGCUCAACAUCAUGUCCUAAACUCAACUGAGGAACACCUUUGGACAUUUGUAUCUGGAUUGCCCUCAAGCUUGUUUUUUUGGUAUUCAUUAUGUAGACCUCCAUACUGUAAUUACAGAUGUUUCUAACCAGAACUGUCACCUGGUAGUUCUGUCAAGAGGAGCAGCCAGUCAACGUGCCACCACAUUCCAGCAACUUACCUAGGAGCUGACCACAAACCAAAGUUCCAAGAUCACCUGGACACAAAGAAUCACCUCCUCAUAUUUCUGUAAAUGCUAGUUUAGCUGUACUUGUAAUCCACACUAUUUGGGAGGCUGAGGUAGGAGAAGUACUUAAGUCAAAGAACUGAGUUGACCAUCCUGAACAACAUAAUGUGACCCUAUCUCAACCCAACAAAACAUCAGGAGAGAAAUCCACAGACUUUCUAGUGAUCUUGCUGAGAAAACAGUUUUUAUUGUUAACUGUUAAGGGAUAAUGCCAUUAAUAUUUUAAAUUGAUGCUAUUUUGUUAUUUAAGCCACAAAAAUAUUCAUUCUGAACAACACACUUUCUUGGCUGAUCUUUUGGAAUGGGUGAGGUACUUGUAUGCACACACGUGAUUAGAUAGUAUUUAUGGCAUUUUAGACUGCUACUGUUAUUUGUAGUGUAAUGAUGGUGUGUUACAUAAUUUUUACAUUUUUCCCUAAGUAAUGUAGGAUUGGUAGAUUGGAAUUUAUAGAUAAGAUGGUGGAUUAGAUGCUGCAUGUGAGUCAGUGGAUAAAAAAAUGUGAAGAUAAAAACAUAAUAAAUCCUAUUUAUAGAUAAGAGAAACUAAGAGAAGUAAAGAAAAAUAAGGCAAAGUCAGCAUUUCUCCACAAUGAACCAGGCCCACAAGAAAUCAGCUGUAGUAUUAUUCCUGCUGACUGGCAUCAUCUGUAGCUGCCAGCAGUGUAUUCUCAAAAGUUACACCAUGAGAGCCCAAGACGGCCAUUCUGGACUGUGUAAAUACAACUGGAUGAUGGUUAAGAAUCUAUACACAAAACAGGUUGCAGCAUUGUAGGUGUUAGAGUGAGUAGCAGAAAUGUGAUUGGAAAACAUGAAGUUGAAGAUCACUACAUAUUAUUAAAGGGAACACUGCUCUGCUGAAUAUGCUGGAAGGUUCUGUGAGACAGAUCAAAAUGGGUGUGCUUCCAGCCCUUAUCACAAUGGGGCUGUGUUCUAGGAUAAAAGAUCAAUAGGGACACAUUGUAGGCCUGCCUUCCUCCUUCAGCAACUUUGGAUCCUCAGGCUGUUUGAAUCUGUCGGCCUGAAUUCACAGACACAAGCCUAGCAUAACUGUCCUCUGAGAGGCUGACUGAAACAGAUGCAAAGACCUACAGCCAAACAUUAGACUAAGCUCAGGAAGUCUUGGGGAAGAGUUGAGGGAAGGAUGGACAAAUCAGGAGGGGAUAGAUACUCCACAAGAAGACCAACAGUGUCAACUAACUUAGACUCUUGGUGGCUUCCAGAGACUGAACCACUAACCAAAGAGCAUACACAGGUUAGACUUAGGCCUCCUGAACAUAUUUAACAGAUGUGGUCUUCGUGUGGUCCCCUCACAACUACAGCAGGGUCUUUCCCUGACUUUGUUGCUUGCCUGUGGAUCCUGCUCCCCUAACUGGGCUGCCUUGUCUGGCCUCAGUGGGAGAGAUUGUACAUAGUCCUGCAGUGACUCGAUGUGCCUGGGUUGGUACCCAGGGGUCCUCCCUCUAGUCCUGCAGUGACUUGAUGUGCCUGGGUUGGUACCCAGGGGGUCCUCCCUCUAGUCCUGAAGUGACUUGAUGUGCCUGGGUUGGUACCCAGGGGGUCCUCCCUCUUCUCAGAGGAGAAGGGGAAUGGGGUCUAGGGUCAUAUGAGGGGGAACUGAGAGGAGGAGAGGGGGAACUGAGAGGAGGAGGGGUCUACUGUUGGGAUAUAAAGUGAAUAAAUAACCUAAUGGAAGGAAAAUAUUGUUAACAUUUAUGUACCAAAUAUCAGGUACAAUUGGUAGGAGAUUUCAGUACUCUCAUCUUUAGGCACUUAUUUCAAACUAAAAGUUAACAAAGCAGCAGCAUAAGUAAAUAAUAUGAAAGAGAAAUACCAUUUAACAGAUGCAGAAUAUUCUGUCCAGUAAACAAGGAAUGCAAUUAUUCCCAGCAGCACAUGGGUCCUUGUUUAGAGCUAUUUACAUUAUGGGACACAAAGCAAAAUCAAAGUAAUAACAUUUCAGCAGAUAAUAGUAGAAUAAAGGAAGCAACAUAAAUAGUAUAAAAUAUAUUUUUGAGUAAACAGUGGGUCAUUGAGGAAAUCAAGGAAGAAAGUUCUUGAAAUCUUAUAAAUAAAUGAAAAGUAUGACACACCAAAGCUAUGGUGUACAAAAAGGUCAUUCAUAAGAAGGAUUAUAAUUAUAAGUGCUUACAUUAAAAAAUCAAUGGGAUCACAAUAACCCAAUAUAUACUUCAAACAACCUAAUUAUACACCUUAAGGUUCUAAAAAAAACUAGAAGGAAAACUCACAGGACAUGAAUGACAAGAAGUAGAGAUAAUAAAACAUAGGAAAUCAAACAAAAAGUUAGUUAUUUGAAAAGGUGGAGCAAAUCUUAAAGAAAAAUAGAUAAUAUCCAAAUUAAAAAUACAAAUGAAAAGAAAGCUAUUAUGAAAGAAAGGCUCUUAUGAAAUCCAGAGGGACAUUAGGGAAUACUUUGAAAGCUUAUAGUCUAAAAAGCUAGAAAACUGGGGCCAGGGAUGUAGCUCAGUGGUAGAGGGUUUGUCUGGCAUGCUCAAAGUCGUGGAUUUGAUUCCUAGUAUUUUUAACACAACAAAAUUUUACAAAACUUUAAAAAAAUGGACAUAUUACUAAACUCAUGUAACCCGCUAACACAAAUUCAAAAAGACAAGAAUAAUUUCAAGAAAUGUAAAAUAAGCAGUGAUAUCGAAAUCUUCACACAUAGAAAAGUCAGGGGUUGGAUGGAUUCACUACUGAAUUCUAACAAAUCAUUAAGGGAGUCUAACAUGAAUAAUUCUUAAACAACUUUCGUAAAAUAGAAAUGGAGGAGACAGAAUUAAACUUAUUCUGUGAAGCUGGUAUUAUCUUGAUGCCACAAUUUCCCUGGUGAGCAGAUGUAAAAAACAAAAAUCUCAAAAUACUUGUAAACUAAACUCAAGAACACGCUAAGAAGAACAUAUACGACCACCUAAUUGGUUUCAUACUAAGGAUGCAAGUUUGGUUUAAAGCAUGCAAAUUAGUUAAUGUAAUGCACUAUAUUAAUAGACUUAAGAAUCACACGAUAAUUUCCUUAGACCCAGAAAAGCCAUUUCAAAGUUUAACAUGUGUUCAUGAUAAAAAGUCAUGAAUCUAGUAAUCAAAGGAACAUAUUUCAACUUUUAAAAAAGACUACAUACGACAAACCAAUAGUUAGCAUUCUAUUAAAUGGAGACAAACCAAGACCAUUUACUCUAAAAUCUGGAGUAAUACAGUGCCUACUUUUACCACUCUUAUAGAAUAGAGUGUUUGAAGCUUUACAGCAAAAAUACAAGAGAAAAAUGUAUAUAAAUAGGAAAAGAAGUCAAAUCAUUAUUUGCAAAUGACAUGAGCUUCUACUUAAAACGCCCUCCACACCACAACCAAAGAUUCUUAGAUCUGACACUUUCAGCACUCUUUGUUAGAAUAUAAAAUGAUGUAGUUACUGUAGAAAAUAUUUUGGUGAUUCCUUAAAAAUAUUUGUAAAAAUUAUAUAAUCUAGCAAUUCUAUUUGUGAAUAUUUACCCAGGAAGAUUGAAAACAGGAUCUUCAAGAGAAAUCUGUAUAUCUCUAGUCAUAAAAGCUUUUAUUUACAACAGUAAAAAGGUAGAAGUAUGUAUGAGUGGAAGAAUAGAUAAAUGAGGCAUAAUUAUAUAGUAGUGUCUUAUUUACCCUUUCGAAAGGAGGGAUAACUUACAGCUGCUGUAUGUGGAUAAACUUUGCAGAUACUGUGGUAAAAGAAAUAAGCCCACCAAAAAAUGAUUUAGUGAAUGACUUCACUAAGACAAAUAUCUGAAGUAUCAAAUUCAUAGAAAAAGAUAUUAAUAGAAUAGUGGUCACCAGGGUGUCUUAAUCACUGUUUUACUGCUAUGAAGAAAUACCAGGACCAAGGCAACUCUUAUAAAGGAAAACAUUUAAUUGAGGCUGGCUUACAGUUUCAAAGAUUCAGUCCAUUAUCAGCAUGUAAAAAGCUUUGCAGCAUGUAAGCAGUCAUGGUGUUGGAGAGGAGCUGAGAGUUCUACAUCUAGAUCUGAAGGUGGCAGAAAGUCAGAAAGAAACUUGACCUGGUUUAAGUCCUUGAAACUCCAAAGCCCACCUCCUCCCCCAUCCCCAGUUAGAUAUACUUCCUCCAACAAGGCCACACAUACUCAAAAAGGGCACACUUAAUCUCUCUCAAGUAGUGCCACUGCCUAAUGAACAAGCAUUUAAAAAUAUGAACAUAUGGGGGUGUUCUUAUCCAAAGCAUCACAGUCAUGGUGAUGGAUAAAAGAAUUUUUGUUGAUUUUGUCACUCUCUUCCUCUUCAUUUUUCUCAUUGUUGUUCUUGAUUUUUUUAUGGACAAUAGAGAUUACUUUUGCAACAUGAAAACAUUCUAUAGAUCAAUUUCCCACAGUGUGAAUAUAUUUAUUAUGCCUAUACAUUUUUAAAUGUUACAGAUGUUUUCUAUACACACACAUUGCAUUUGUCACAUACCCUAAAAUUGAAGUCACUAGAAAAACUAAUUAAAAAUAAAAUUAUAUUGUUGGGUGACUUUUCUUGGAGGAUAUAAAGAAAUGCCAAUUUAUCCCACAUAAGGUAUCACGUAUACACUAAAAUCCUGACUCCACCUAAGCUCCAAGUGGUGCAUCAGGAAAUUGAUUGAAGUUACUUAUAAGAACAUGGGUAACUGGGCAGCUAUAUCAUCAACCAAGUUCAACCUCAGUGAGUGGCCACUGCAUGGAUGGUUUGGGCAGCUGAUUCACUGAAUAAUCCUACUCCAGCAUGUGUGACCACUCACAGAAGAUGCCUAACUAGAGUUCUAGCUUUAGUCAUCCUCCCCCUUCUAUAUUCUCUAGAACUUCCUAAGACCACAUAUAGGUGAGAGGUCGGGAGUAGUGGAUAAUGAUAGUGGAUUCCUUCUAAGAGUUAGUGUUAAUGGUCCAAUUAUAAUUUUUAUUAACCCAGCUAUUAACAGUUUAAUUUGCUUAUUUUGUUACUAUGACUGCAGAGAUAAGCCAUUCUAUAGGUCAUCACAGCGAUCUAGGCUUCAUGAUGGUGACAAUCAUGUUACACGUGUAGAAAAGAACUCUACUACAGCACAGUACUGUAUUGAGAUGUAAUUAACAACUAGAGUGUUCCAUUUUCUUCAUACUACUGUGGAUAUAAACCAGGGCCUCACCAAUGCUAAGCCAUCAGUUGCCACUGAGCCACAGCCAGAUCUUAAUAUAAUAUUUUGAUACACAUGUCCUUUAUGAAAUAAUGUAGCCAAGCUAACUAACAUAUGCAUCACUUCACAUACUUUCUAUCUGGGGUAAGGAAAAAUUAAGAAACUUACUUUAGGUAAAAUGGUAAAAAUAAAAGUGAAUAAUUGUAAAAUAUAUUCUAUAUAAAUAUUAGCUAGACUGGAGUUUAAGAAAAAUAUACUUAGUUUAAAUUAUUUAAAAAUUAUAAAGAAUAUUAUAGAUUGAUAAAAGUGAAGUCCAUCAAAAUAUACAGGAAUUGUAAACAUAUAUACACACCAUAAAACCCCAGAGGAAUAAAUAAAUGAAAUAAACAGAACUGAGGGGAGAGAAAGAUCAGUCUACAUUUACUUUUAUCCAUUUUUUAAAUUCAUAGAGCUAGAAAGAAGAUAAAUAAGGAAAAGGCAACUCCAGACAUCCAUCCGGCAUGUAGCACAUACACCAUAUACCACAAAGAAUAUACAAUUUUCUCAACUGCACAUAGAACAUUAUUCAGAACAGAUUGCAUGUUAGAACAAAAGAGAAAAAAUAAGUUAAAAUAUCCUAAAAAAAGUAUGUUUACUAAAACUACAAGCCUAGAUAUCAGCAACGUUACCAGUCUCUUUCUGGAUACCAUUAGCUCCUUGGUUCUUGUGAUGAGAUUCACAGAGAGAAUUCAGGUAAGAUGCACAGAGCACAGUGUAGAAGAGGAGCAGUUUAUUCUAAGGUGGAAAAAGCUCUCAAAGAAUCAGAGUAGAUGGCCAAAGAGCACAUUGCAGAGCAGAGUACAUUCCCAAAGGGGUGAAAGUAGGGGUAGAAAGGGGCAGUGGUAGGAGAGAGUCCAGUAUCAAGAGGUGAGUAUAGUCAGUGACCAACGGGGGCAUUUCAAAGGAGAGUGGAGUCUCAACAGGUAAUAGACAGGCUUUAUACUAUUUCUAUAGUGUCAAAAAUGAGAUUCAAUUGCAUUAAUUCUUAGAGGAAGGAUCACUGGUAUGUUGUUUUCUGGCACUGUUUCUGGAAAGAUUUGGACAAACAUCCACAUAUGAUAUAUGCCAAAUCAAUAGUAGACCAAAUUAAAGAUACUUCCAAAAGUCAAA